AUGUAAAAAGGGGAGAUGGAUCUAAUUGGACAAUAAAUGAUGUAAACCAACUCCUCUAUUCUGCUUGAUUCAUCAUCCCAAAGCUCUCCACACUCAUCAUUUCCCUCAAAAGUAGCUGGUUCUUAAUCCUCAUUGACAAAACCAUGGGCAACAUUUGCUCCAUUUCACUCCCCGUUGACCGCAUUGUCUCUAGCUUCUGGGAUGGCACUACUGAGCAUGCAAAUUACCUGCGCAAACUCCCUGAAAAUCUGGUAGAAUUGGGAACCGCUUGUGAAAGAUUGAGGGAGUUAAGGAACGAUGUGAAGAAGAAGGUGGAUAUUGCUGAGAGGGAACAAAUGCAGCCGCUGGACCAAGUACAAGGGUGGCUUUCAAGGGUUGAAACUCUGGAAACUCAAGUCACUCAACUGAUUGGAGAUGGCACCGAGGAGGUUGACAAGAAAUGUCUCGAUGGUUCCUGUCCUAGGCAUUGUAGGACCAGAUACAAGUUGGGGAAGAGAGUAGCUAGAAAGUUGAAAGAAGUGGACAUUCUAAUGAGCCAAAGACCUUCGGAUGUGGUGGCUGAGAGGUUACCUUCACCUCGCCUAGGUGAAAGGCCUAGUGAAGCAACCGUCGGCAUGAAUUCCAGAAUUGGUAAGGUUUGGAGCAGCCUUCAUCAAGAACAAGUGGGAAUUAUCGGCCUAUAUGGAUUAGGAGGAGUUGGGAAAACCACCCUCUUAACCCAAAUCAAUAAUGCUUUUACUAAAAGAACCCAUGAUUUUGAUUUUGUGAUCUGGGCAACAGUUUCCAAAAAUGUAAACCUUGAAAACAUUCAGGACGACAUCUGGAAGAAGAUAGGGUUUUGUGAUGAUAAAUGGAAAAACAAAAGUCGAGAUGAGAAAGCUACGAGCAUAUGGAGAGUCCUGAGCGAAAAGAGGUUUGUGCUGUUGCUAGAUGAUUUAUGGGAGUGGUUGGAUUUAUCAGACGUCGGGGUCCCAUUCCAAAAUAAGAAAAAUAAGAUAGUAUUCACCACUCGAUCAGAAGAGGUGUGCGCUCAAAUGGAAGCUGAUAAGAAGAUCAAAGUGGAAUGCCUAACAUGGACAGAAUCCUGGGAAUUGUUACGAAUGAAGCUUGGAGAAGACACUCUCGAUUUCCAUCCUGAUAUACCAGAACUCGCUCAAGCCGUUGCACAAGAGUGUUGCGGUUUGCCACUUGUGCUAACUACCAUGGGCAGGGCCAUGGCUUGUAAGAAGACACCGGAGGAAUGGAAGUAUGCAAUAAAAGUGUUACAAAGCUCUGCCUCAAAAUUUCCAGGUAUGGGGAACAAAGUGUUUCCUCUUUUAAAAUACAGUUAUGAUUGCUUACCCAUCGAAGUUUCCAGAUCUUGCUUCUUGUAUUGUUCUCUAUAUCCGGAAGAUUAUAAGAUGUCAAAAUCAAGUUUGAUAAACCGUUGGAUUUGUGAAGGCUUUUUAGAUGAAUUUGAUGACAGGGAAGGAGCAAAAAACCAGGGUUACAACAUUAUUGGCACUCUGAUUCAUGCAUGUCUAUUAGAAGAAGCUGAUGUUGAUUAUCGAGUAAAACUGCAUGAUGUAAUACGUGAUAUGGCAUUGUGGAUAGCUUGUGAAACUGGGAAGGAGCAGGACAAGUUCUUGGUGAAGGCCGACAGUACGUUAACUGAAGCUCCUGAAGUUGCUAGAUGGAUGGGGCCAAAAAGGAUUUCACUGAUGAAUUACCAUAUUGAGAAACUAACAGGGUCUCCCGAUUGCCCCAAUCUCUUAACUUUGUUUCUUCGGAAUAAUAAUUUGAAGAUGAUCUCUGAUAGUUUCUUCCAGUUUAUGCCAAAUCUAAGAGUUUUAGACUUGUCAAGGAAUACUAUGACUGAAUUACCACAGGGAAUCUCUAAUUUGGUUUCAUUACAGUAUCUCAGCCUAUCAAAAACCAACAUAAAAGAGUUGCCAAUUGAGUUGAAGAACCUGGGUAACUUGAAAUAUGAAAAUUCAUGCCAAUGAUUAUGAUUUUAGGUUAUUUAUUAUUAAGUAUGAUUUGAACUUAUGUCUUGGUUAAAAUGUAUAAUUUUUUAAUUAUAUGAAAGAAAAAUAGGUAAUGGUUGUAAUAAUUUAUUUAGUUAGAAUUUCUUUCAUUUAGACUUUAGGAUGCAUUUGAGUUUUAUUUGUUUAAAUUAUCAAGGAAACAUGUGAAUAACAUAACAUCACUAAUUUGAUUUAACACUUUAUAUAACCUUAAAUGUAUAAACCAAAGUAUAAUAGUUCUACAAACAUGAAAAAAGAUCUCAAUGUGUCCCACAUGAUGGAAUCUUUCUCUUUCGUUGUGAACAUCUACGGUAGAUGGCCAUAUUUGUUGUAUCCAUCUGUGCUAUUUGAAAAGUCUCCAUCUCUAUAGACUGUGACACGUCAUCUACAUGAGCUGUCGAGAUAGAUGGAACUGAUGGAGGUAGAACUCGACGUACACGUGGAGCUCGAUGUCCUCUAGCUACCCGUACAUGUAAUCGUGCAGCAUGAGCUAUCCCCUGAAGAAAAGGUAGAGGUGCAAUGGACUCUGUAACAGGUGGAGGUGCAAUAGACUCUGUAACAGGUGGGGGUGCAAUAGACUCUGCAAUAGGUGGGGGUGCAUCCAAUGAUAUAGAUGGCUGAACAGGGGUAAGGGUAGAUGGUAUGGUAGUCUCGGGUCGAGGUGAAUAGGCUGGUAUGGAUACAUCAGGGGGAGAAAGUGGCGACUCUAAUGAUGCAGAUGGUUGAAAUAAAGGAAAGGUAGAUGUGACUGGUGGAUGUGAGGGUUGUACCAAAGUAGAUGCCAAAGGUACAUGUCGGUGACCAACUCGACGACCACCUCUCCCCCGACCUCUAAUGGGUGGUACCCUAACAGGCGUAAUCAAUGAUUGUGGUCUCAUGGAUGACCCUGAAGAUGUGGAUGGCUCAUGUGUCGAGUGUGCGCGAUGGUCCUCUCCUAUAACACGUAAAACAUCAAUAGCAAUUCGGUGAGUUUCCUCCAAAUCAUUUGAAAUAGCCAUCUGUGAUACGGCGGUGAUCUGUAUAAAAAAAUAAAACAUGAGGCAUUUGCACAUAAUUUAAGUUUAACAUUCAUUAAAAAAUGGUUUUGUAUCUCAAAUGCUCUCACCAAUAACUCAGUGGCAGAAGCUGUAUUAUGGAACCUCAUAUGAUCUCUAUGCAAAACAGGUGCGAUCAGGCGUCGCGUGAUACGUCGAUACCACUGCAUAUAUGGAUCAUAAAAAGACAUGGUAGUAAUCGCAAGUGGUGCUGUCGCAAUACGCUCAGAAUGAGUAGCCCAAAGAGAAAUAUACUGAGCAUGGAAUGUGACCCAAUCGUACUGAUGUCGUCCUCGCCUAUCCACUAAAUGUAGCUCCAUAUCUAUCAAACAAGGUGGAGGUAUCCCUUGUUGCAUAUGAAACUGGCGUAAAACUCGCUCUGGUCUAUGCCACUCAAUAAUAUCAAAGCAAAUUAGAGGUGACAUAGUUCGCCAAAUUUCUUCAUCAGCCUGACAUAUAGUCGGAAGAUGUGCAAUCAAAUUUGCUGUAUAUGGUUCCCAUAAUACCUGUAAUUUUUUUAAAAAAUAAUUAGUCACAUUGGUGGAAAAUAUUGCAAAGGUAAUCUUACGCAUCUACACUUUACCUGAUCCUGUGUCUGGGCAUCCAAUUGAUCUCGAUAGAAUGUCAACACAUGUGGUGAUGGGUUAUGAGACCAAGACAGGGGUACUCUCCACCUAUGGCCCAAUGGAUCGAUUGGGAGUGCCUCAUCUGGCAAUAGAUGAUCAUGUAAACCAUCAACUACAUCAUCAUGUACAUGUGGGACUACUAUAGGCACUGGAGGACGACCAAAAUCAGGUCGACCCACAUGAAGUCUCUCCCAUGACCACAACUACAAAAUCAGAUAACAUUAUCAAAAUUAGACAACUUACAACAAUAAUGUGAGUCAAUUAAUUAUAAUAGAUAGUUAUGUCGAAAUACCUGUAAUAGUGUGAUAGGUCCAGAAAUCUCUGUGGCACUAUCUAAACUCGCACGACAUAGCUCUCUAUAUAGGUAUGCCAACACUGCACUGCCCCAACUAUAGUGAGAAAUCUCAGUGAAGUCUCUCAACAGUGGAAGGUAACAUAACUGUACAUGUGUGCCAGUCUUGUCUGCAAACAAUGCUCCACCCAAUAGUGCUAAUAUGAAAGCACACGCAUAACGCUGUAAAAUAGGGCAUUCUCCAAAAUACAAACAACCUGAUUAAUCAAAAUAUUUAUUUGCAACCAAUAUCAAUAUCCAACAAGUACAAUAAUUUUAAAAAAAUUAUCAAACACUAAAGUUCACAUCCAAAUAUUAAAAAUUUCGGUAGAGUAUCCCCUAUAAAUAGGGCAUUCUCCAAAAUACAAACAACCUGAUUAAUCAAAAUAUUUAUUUGCAACCAAUAUCAAUAUCCAACAAGUACAAUAAUUUAAAAAAAAUUAUCAAACACUAAAGUUCACAUCCAAAUAUUAAAAAUUUCGGCAGAGUAUCCCCUAUAAAUAGGGCAUUCUCCAAAAUACAAACAACCUGAUUAAUCAAAAUAUUUAUUUGCAACCAAUAUCAAUAUUCAACAAGUACAAUAAUUUAAAAAAAAUUAUCAAACACUAAAGUUCACAUCCAAAUAUUAAAAAUUUCGGCAAAGUAUCCCCUAUAAAUAGGGCAUUCUCCAAAAUACAAACAACCUGAUUAAUCAAAAUAUUUAUUUGCAACCAAUAUCAAUAUCCAACAAGUACAAUAAUUUAAAAAAAAUUAUCAAACACUAAAGUUCACAUCCAAAUAUUAAAAAUUUCGGCAGAGUAUCCCCUAUAAAUAGGGUAUUCUCCAAAAUACAAAUAACCUGAUUAAUCAAAAUAUUCAUCUACAACCAAUAUCAAUAUGCAAGUACAAUAAUGAAAAAAAAUGUAAUAAUAUGAUGUUCGCAUCCAAAUAUUAAAAAUUUCAAUAGAGUUUCCCCUAUAAAUAGGGUAUUCUCCAAAAUACAAACAACCUGAUUCAUCAAAAUAUUCAUAUUACAAUUUUGAAAUUAACAGCAAAGUCUCUCUUAUAACAUAAGUAUUGUCCAAAAUACAAAUAACAUAAUAUCAACAUCCAAAGCCUAGCACCCAUCAUGAAGGCCCAGCACCCAUGUUCUUAUUUGGACAAGAACGACGAUUGUGACCACUUUGUUUGCACAAACCACAUGUAAUUGAGGUUUUACCUUCUCUAACAUCCAUUUCAUUGUGCAAACGAGUAGAUUUAGGUCGUCCACCUGACACACGUUUCAUUGAAUCUGCAGGCACAAUAACUGGACCAACAUAUGGUGGCCACUCGUACUCAUUGUGUAUCGGGUUAAACAGUGGUGCCCAAGUGCUAAAGUACGAUUGUAUAGUGUAAUAAUGUUGAACAAAUGAUCUAAAAUCAAUUGAAUGAAAAUGACAUGCCGCUAGAAUAUGACUACAUGGGAAUCCAUAUAUGAGUGUUUUGCCACAUGUGCAUACAUGCUCACGUAGGUUAACACGAUGUGUUCUUCCACCAGAUGAUGUCUUUUUACUACCCCUACUGGCCUUCACAUGAAACAGUCCUUGGAAGUGAUCAUACAAAACAACCUCAUGAGAACCUGCCUUAACAACAUUUGCAUUAAUCUUAGCAUCAACAUAAGGAGUGUAUUGUUCACCUGAAGCAAGUCGACUAGCACCAUGUUCUCUUCUUACAGCAAAGUAACUAUUAACUCGAUAGAAUGUCAAUUGAACAAAUGCAGUGAUAGGGAAACUUCGUGCCCCUUUGAGCACACUAUUGAACACUUCUGACAUGUUCAUGCAAGGAUUGACACAUGUGUGUGGGCCACUAUAUUUGUUGAUCUCAAAUAAAGAUGUCCCUUUAACAACUGUAGCACGUAGUCUCCAAGCACAUUGAGACUGUUCAGCUUUCUUGCAUCUUAGGACCAACAAUUUCUUUGUGGAUGACAAAACGAUAUACUCUUGGUGCGAAUUAAUAGAGUACAUCUUUACAUCAUGUUGCAAAUCUCCUUUGGAAUUAAAGAUUUGUCCAACUAUGAACUCUCCAGUUGGAUGUCCCAUAAGAGUGUUUCCCCAUGGGGUCCAUUCACUUGACACAACAUGACCAAUGUUUUCAACAUUUUCAAACUGUGGUGAUGGUGCCAAAUGAUAUUGCAUUGGAGAUAAUUCAAUUGGGUCAUCUAAAUCCUCUGUAUCUGGAUUGUUUGACAAGUUACAUCCUUCCCCAUCCACAGCCACAUAUCUCAUUUGUUCUCUUUCAAUUGCCUCACGAACAGCUAAAAAAGGCGAGCUACCUUCCCUAUCUUGAUUAUCAUCAUUAUGAAUAUCCUUGGCUCCUACACUGUCAUCAUCACAUUGUGUUCUUUCUUCGUCUUCCUCAUCCUCUUCUGAUCUAUGCUCAACAGUAAAUGGAUUUUGAACAUUACUAGUACCAUCAUUUUCACCAAGUAACAAAGGCAUGCAAUUACCAAGUGAUGAAUUCAUUUGUAAGUCAAUAGGUACUUGUUCAACAAAUAACUCAACUUCAUCCAUCCCAAAUCUGUUAUGCAUUUCUAACAUUCGAGCUACACCACUAUCAUUCUUUACUGGGCAAGGUUGGAAUUUGUUCAAUUUUUUCAUAGGAUACUUACAACUAAGUAUUAAUCGAAAAUGUUCUUUAUUGAUGUCAGUGACCGAGUAUAUCAUUUCCAACAGUUGUUCAUAUGUUGUCCCAAGAGGCACAUCAAUAGGUUCAACCACAACUCUAUCCCCAACAUAAUCAACAUCGGUCUGUGUUCUCACCAUUUUCCCAUUACAAAAACAAACUAUUGCCACCGAUAAAUUAGACAUAGUUUACCUAUAGAAGAAGCCAAAAAAAUCAAAUUAAUUUCAUUUUUAACCACAAAAUUACACAAUAUAAAACAUUACUAAAACAUCAAUUUGUAAUGAAAUAACAAAUAACAAUAAUAGGGUAUGUUAUUAACAAUAAUCAAAUAACAAAUAACACCUUAAUAUCCAAAUAAUUCAAUGUUUUUUAUUAAUAAUAUUUUCUUAUUAUUUAUUACCAUUAAAAUUGAAUAAAAGGUUGUUAUUUUUCCAUUAACAAUUAAAAUGUCUUUGUUUAAGCUACCCAAAUUAAGUGGGAAAUUUUUUUAAAUUUGUUCAAGAAUGGAUGUAAUGUGUACAUAUUCAACAUAAUUAAUAGUUACGACUAUAAAUGUUUUAAUAUUUUCCACUUAAAUAAUUGAAAAAGAGAAAGCGGAAUAGUUAAUACACUUUUGCUUAUGUCUGGUUAAUUUUUAAAUUUUUUUAAUUUAAUUAAAUUUCUACAAUUUAUAAUUUAAUAAGUUCAAUUUGAAGUAAAAACUAAUAUUUUCUAUAUAUUAAAUUUGGUUUUAGUGUUUUUUUAUUAUUUAUAACUAUUGAGUUCUUCAAAUAUUUUAUAAUCUUUAGGAGUCUAUCUCGAUCUUACAGAUUUUUCCCUCUAUGGCCUAAAAUAUUUAUAAAAAUAUUCUAAAUAACUUUCCUUAUUCUAUGAGGAAAUAUGAUAUCACAAUAAUAAAUUAACUUAGAAAAUACUUUAUACAAUAUUCUUUACCAAAAGGAAUUUAUAAUAAUUGAGAAUUUGAUACAUUUUCUAAUAUAUGAUACAAUUCAAAAGCUAACCAAUAAUUACAAGCAAUUUUCAUGGUUUGGAGAUCCAGCCUAGGUUCUACAUGUCUUUUUACAGUUUUAUAAAGUUGUUAGCAUUUGUAUAAGUGCUAUUAAAUGUUCCACAUGCCAUUAAAUAAUCCGAGUUCUAGGAACCCUAGAGUUUGGUCAUGAUUCGAGUUCUAGGAGCCCUAUAAUGGGGAAGAGAUUGUUAUAUGCGCAAUAGUAUUAUCUUUAUAAAAAUGAUGAUUGAAAAAUGACACACUCAAAUCUCCUUCAUCCUAAUAAAAUUUUAAAAUAUAUAUAUAUAUAUAUAUAUAUAUAUAUAUAAUAAAAAGUAUAUAUUUUUUUAGAGGAGAAAAAGAAACAAAAAUAAAUUUAAUAAUCACUUCCAAUUUUAUAAAGUUAAUAAAUUAUGAAAACAAAUUUAAAAAUAAUUUGAAAAACUUAAGCAUUUGUAAUGAUGGUUUCUCGAUAAAUCUAGUAAUUAUAAUAAAUAAGAAGAUAAAAUAUUUAUUAGGAAGUGUAGAGGCUUUCACUUUUCUUUUUCUGUAACUUUUUGAAGUUGCUUCCAUAUGUCUUAUGUCAAGAAGAUUCCCAUAAAUAUGUAUUAAACCUGGAAGAAGCAGAUUCUUACAAAAAAAAUAAUGAGUCAUUUUCCCCAAUUUUUUACUUUAAUGCAUAGGUGUCUUACAAAAUCCACAAAACAAAGCUUUUUGAAUUUUUGGCUAUAAAUUUUAGUUCCAGCUUCUCACUAGGCAAAUAUUAAUAUUUGUUGUUCAUAUGUAUUGUUGUACGUGUAUCAUUGUAUUGUGCAUUAUAUUUGUACCAUAAAAUACACUUCAGAUGAGAUACAACCAAGCAAUAAAUAAGAUUUACAUCAGGAAAAUGAAUUAUAUCAUUGUAUUGUAAGUUUUCUAACAAACAUGCUUACAACCACUAAGGUACUUUUAGAAAUAGUUGAUGGAUAAGAUCAAGCAAGCUACUGCCUCAUAACCAGCAAUAGCAGGCCCAUGUUUGUGAGGAAUUGAAGCUUCUAUCCGGGAGUGAGUAAUUGUAAGACUGUUGAAAUUUUACCAGUAGUAAUGGUUGAGAAAGUUGAACAUGUAAAAUAUGCCACAAAAAAUAUGAAAAAUUAGCACUAAUGUGAAGAGCGUACUUUGAUCAGUGUAAAGCAAAGAUCAAUACAUUAAGCUCUACAUUAAGCAGGAGUGUAUUUCCAUUCCAUAUUGGGAUUUCAUAGGUUUCCCCUAAGCACCCUGCUAAAGGCCAUAUGUAAUUUCAAACCCUUCAACUUUCAGUCAGUAAACUCUCAUUUUUGACAGAGGCCCAAUUAUUGAAACUUUUGUAUUUUUAAGUAAUUGAAAUCAAUUGAGAGGUAAUGACAAUUCAUUUAUACUUUUUAUCCCUAUUUACAAAUGUGAUCCAUGUUUCAAACAUAAUAUAACGAAAGAAAAAGAAUAAAUCAAAAUAACCAAUAUAGGAUCAUAUAAAUUAAAUUUCAUGAUAUAUAUCGAUGUCAAUAUGUAUAUAUAUAAACAAAUUAAUAUAAAGUGUUUUUUUACGGAAGGCCAAUUAUUGAAGCUUUUGUAUUUUUAACAAUUGAUAUCAAUAAAGGGGUAUCAAUAAUUCACCGGCAUUUUCUAUCAUUUUUUAUAGAUGUGAUAUAUAUAUAUAUAUAUAUAUAUAUAUAUAUAUAUAUAUCUUGAACACGGUGUAAAAAAUGAAAAUGAAGAAUUCAAAAUACUCGUAUGCGAUAACAUAAAUUUAAUUUCAUGAUAUAUAUGAUAUAAUAUCAAUAUAUAUGCUUUUAUUGUUGAAUAAUGCUAUAUCAUAUUUAAAAUAUUUAAAAAAAUACAAUUUAAUAUACCCAUUAUUAGAUAAUUUAUUAGAAUUUCAUACAAAAUCAUCACAAAAUUUUAUUUUCUCACUCCUAAAAUUUAUUUUGUAAAAUCCAAUAACGAAUAUUUCAUAAAUUUCAAAUACUUUGAUCAUUUAUAUAUAUAUAUAUAUAUAUAUAUAUAUAUAUAUAUAUAUAUAUAUAUAGACACAUAUAAUAAGUGUAUAUGAAUCCUCUAUAGAAAAAAUCAUAUCCAAUGUUUAUAUCUUAGCAAAUAUGGUGUCCAAUUUAACAAAGAGAGUCAACGCAAUAUGAGGGAACAAAAGAAAAAUAGAAAGAAAUAAAAAGGGUUUGACCAUUUGGUGGUGUGAACUUUGAAGAGAAUUUUGAGAAAAAUUUUAAUUAAAAAAGCCGGGAAGGAGGAGGGGGUGAAAAUCGGAGCCAGCCCGCUCACUAUUUUGGCAUGAAAUUUUGAACCCCACCAAUUCAGCCCGCCCUUAACAAAUUUGGCUCAAAUUCUACACCCGAUUCACGCGCCCACGUACCCCACUCUCUCUCUUUCUCUGUCUGUCUCUCUCUUAGACAUUCACCCUUCAGAUCCCUUUCGAAACCCCAAUUCUGCUAAGGUAUAAACCUUAACCUCUCCAAGUCUCUCUCUCUCCCCCACCUUCAUCCAAUCCGAAAUCCAUAUUUUGGAUCACAAUGAAGAUGAAUCAUGGGCAGAUCGACAACUAUCAGGAUUCCGAGAUGAGAGGAAAAUGAGGCAAAGGUUAGGGUUUUUCGGGUUCUAGGAUAAGAGGAAUACAAGGUGGAGGAAAGGGUUUUUCAAGUUUUUUGGAUAGCUAUGAAAUUGAAAACAACUUGAGAUUUUUAAAAUUUUCAAAACAACUUGUUUUCCUCUGUUUGGUUGGUGAGAAAGCUAAGGAAAAUGAGUGGGAAAAAAUUAAUGAACCCGAAAAAAAUUUACCUAGCUGCUGGUGGAGCUGCUGGUGGGAGCCACUGGUGGGAGCCGCAGCCGGUGAGGAGAGAAAAUGGAGCCGCAGAUGGUGGAGCCGCAGAUGGUGGAGAAUACUUUCUGGUUGAUUUCGGGAAAAAAUUGGGUCUCCAAAGUAAAAAAACAAGUUUGACGAAGAUGACUUGUUGACGUGGAUGGCUGAUGUGGAUUCAAAAGAGUAUUUUGGCAAAUAGUUUGAAAACUGGAUUAGUUUGGGGUUUUUUUUUCCAAAGAAAUACUACUUCGGCGGGAAACUCCUUAGCUUGUCCUAGGCGGGCCUUUAAAUGGAGCUUCGGCCAAAGCUGGAAAACUAAAAAUACAAUAAUUUUUAAAAAUUGAUUAGAAAGAGUGACAUUUGACCAUAUUUUUUUAUAUUCUUUUUAAAAAAUUUAUUUUUAAGUCAAAGAUAAAAAAUAAUUGUUUUAAUAUUUUCUCAAAAUAAGGGUAUUUCCGAAUUUGACAAGUUUCUUUUUAGAAGUUUUUCAAAAAAUAAAAAACCAAAAACUUGUUUGAAUAAUUUUUUUCCAAACAAAAUACUAUCAAAAUAAUUUUUUUACUUUAUAUCUAAAUACUAAGGUAAGUUUUGGUUAUAGUUCCUAUUUAUACAAAAUAUAAGAACUCCAGCACAUAAAGCAAAAAAAUUAUCUAGCUUGUAUAUAAAAAAAUUUUAAUCCUUAAAUUUUAAGAAUUUUAAAAAAUGUUUUCAAGUAUAUAAAAUAUAUAAUCACUUUUGUAUAAGAAUUUCUAUAUUCUAUUCUAUUUUAGAAGCAAAGAUGGAAAAUGUAUCCAAAUAUAUACUAAGUAAUUUUCUUUAAAAAUGUUUCUAAUGAAAGGGUUCUAACAAAAGAGGUGCAAAUAAAAAUACUUUAAACAAAAUCCCUCUCAAGCAAGUUCUAAGUUAUAAUAAAUAUUUUUCUUUAAUAUUUCUAAUCAUAAUAUUUUUCUUCAAUAUUCCUAAUCAUCAAAAGAAAUAUGGGACUGCAAACAUUAAGGAAGAAACUUCAAAAUGAUUUUAGUUUAAAUUUAUUUCAUUUGCAAUCUUGCAAUCUCAUGCCCCAAAUGUUCCCAUUCAUCAAUUUUUGGUAAAAUUUUAUUAAAAUUACUAAUUAUUAAAAAAAAUUAAAUUUUAAACAUUUUUUAAAAAUCAUAUCCAUUUAAUCACAACAAAAUAAAAUUUUCUUGUUAUCAUUAUAAAGUAACUCCAAGAGAGAAAAUAAUUGGUUUCCAAAAAUAAAAAGAAAAAAAAAACUUUGAAAAUUUUCAAAUAUUCCAAAAUUUCUAAAAAAAAAUCCAAAAUCCAAGUUUUGUGAUCCCAAAAGAUGGAAAUACUUUACAAGUUAUCGACAAUUUCAAAUUUUCAAUUGGAGUUGUAAUAAAAUUUAAUUUAAUUGCAAAUCACCAUUUCAAUUAAUCUCAUUUCUUGAUAAUCCAAAUAGCAGCUAAUAUAAGAAGAAUGUUGAAUAAGGAACAACUCAUCUCUCUCUAUCAAAAAUGUCUUCAAGAUUUUAAUGCAUUCACAUAACUUUUUCAACUUGAAUACCAUUUCAUACCUAAUAAUAGAGACCAAAAUUUUGAUGCAUUCACAUAUCCUUUUCAACUUGAGUACUAUUGUCCCCCUAAUAAUAAAGGUCAUUUUCUAAAAGUUUUCUCACUUCUUUUACAACCAUUAGUUCUUCAUACAUUUCAACCUAGGAUAAGGUAUAUUCUUCUUAAUAAUACUUGUGUUAAUAAUGAGAAGGUAUUCAAUACAUAUAUUCUACCACAUUAGUAUGUUAAUAUAGUAUAAAUCUUCAUUCAUAUUUAUCAAAUCAAAACUUAAAAAGGAGGGGAAAAAAGUUAUUUGGAUUUGAAAAUAAUUAAUAAAAGCUUUAAAUUAUUGGGAAAGUGAAUUAUAAAAAUUAUUUUUUAAUAAAAUAACUUAAUUAUCACUUUAUUUAUUUUCUAUUAAUUUAUUCUCAAUAAUAUCCAAAAUAUAAAUAAAUUAUUAUAUCACAUUAGUAAGCAUUAUAAUACCACAUCAAUGAGCUUAGAACAACAAAGAUAUCCAAUAUAUUCUCAUUAAUCAUCAAGUAAAAAAAAAAGAGAAAGGAAGAAAAGGGAGGAAGAGAAUAAGUAAAAUAAGGAUUUUUGUUAAAGAAGACUUGAGAGGAAUGGUACAAUAAUUUUUUUUUUGUUCAUUUAUUUUUAUUUUUACUUAUUUAUUCAUUUUUAUAUUUUAUAUUAUAAUUAAAUCAGAGAAUGUGAUGAGUUGUAUGGUUUGGUUUAUGUAAACGAGAUUAGACAUGUAUAAUUUAGAUAAUUAUUUCUUGUACCAUAAAUUUUUUAAAUCCAAAUAUGGUUCCUUUAUUUUAUUGAUAUAUUUAUUGUAUAUUUAUAUUAAGAAUUUUUUUAUUUUUUGUUUUUAAUUAAUUUUGUGUGAUUGUAUAAAGUGAGUCAUUGCUAUCUAUUAAUAGGAAUAAAACUUGUAAAAUUAUUUUUCUGGACUAAUCUUAUAAAAUUAUGUAAAUUGAUAUCAUUUCUCAUAAUCCAGCUGGACCCUCAAAUGCAAAAUAAAGAAGUGAAUAGACGUGGUGGAGUGGCUGUCAUCCAGCUGGACUCUCAAAUGCAAAAAUGGAGAUUCGAUUAUCCCAAAUCACAAGUCACAAGUCGCGAGGGGUGUGUGGAUUGGCAAUGGAAGCUGAUGUGGCACUUGAUACAACCUCAAUGUCCCAAUGCUGACUGCCAGUUGGAUCGUCCACGCUUCCCGAUAUUAUUUCUGUAUUGAGCCCCCAGCCCCUUCUAGCCUCUCAUCUUCCCUACCUUCUCCAACGUCUCUCUGUGCCUUUUUUGCUUUUUUUUUCCCAUUCAAUGCCCUUCACUCUUCUCCACCGCUGUGGCUCCACAGCACUCCUUCUCAGGCCUACUUUGGUCAAAUCAAGAGUCCUCAAACUGUCUCCAAGAUGUAUUUAGGUUUUGUUCUGUAGCUCUAAAAAUUGAAAAGCCUAGUUGAAUUCCUUUUUAAAAAUCUCAAAAUUAAUUAUUUGGAAUUGUAAUAAUAUGAAGGGAUAAAGAAAAAGACAAAAAAGCAAUGGAGUUUAAAACAACAAUGGAUGGAGCAUGAUUGAGGCAAAUUAGCUUUAGUUAAGGGUCCCAUGUACACCAUGACUCAUGUCAUUUGGGUCUUGCAAUCCUAUGUUCUAACUGUGCUCAUUCAUCAAUUUCAUUGGUAAAAUAUUAUUAAAAAAUUAAAUUAAUAACCUUUUUCAAAAACCAUAUUGUGGAUCCCGCAUUUCGGCUCGAUGCAUUCCCAUUCGAUGACGAACUCGUUUUUUAUUUAAAAAAUGAUUUAUUGAUUAAGAAAAUGACCUAAAGUCGCCACUUAUUUUUGUUAUAUUUUUAAAGGGUAAACAAAAUAAGAAAGAAAACCCUAAGUGUGGCUCCUUAUUUGAAAAAUGUGGUAUGUGAAAAACCAAAUCUGAGUUCGAGGGUCAGGUUACUUAUUGAGAAGGUAUGGUAAGGACCGUAACACUCCUUUAAGUCUCUAAAAACGGGUCUCUACUAAUAGGAUGAAGCAAGUAUGAUAAUUGAUCGAUUAAACAUGGAUACCAAACAAUGAUCAAAUGUGUGAAAGCAAGAUAUGCAUGAUAACAAAUAAAUCGAUAAAUGCAAUCGAAUACGAGACGUACCUUAAUCACAAGUUGAGCGUUAUCAUAAGAGACAAGGUUAGUGCACAAAUGUAGAAUAAUCAAGUAUAGCAAUCAAUCAAUUAAUGAGAAAAUCUCGUAUAUUGGGUCCCACCAAAACCCAAUUGAUCUUGCAUGAGUUAAUCUCAUAAAUUUCAUUAUUUUGGAAUUACGAAAAUUGUCUUCGUGCUUAUUAAAAUAGUGAAAAAUGAGAAAAUAAUUAAAAAAAAAAGAAAAAAGAAAAUCAUAGGACGCAUGCGUGAAUGAAAAAUGGUAGCACGUUUAUUAAAAAUUAGGUUUUGGUGAAUUGGGAUUUUAAUGAAGAAAUGAAAAAUAAAGAAAGAGAAAAAAAAUGAUAAUAAUAAUAAUAAUAAUAAUAAUACUGGCAAAUAAAUAAAUAAAACGAAUAACAUAAAAUAAAAUAAUAAAAUAAAUAAAUAAAUGUUUAUAUUAAAAUAUGAACAAAUAAAAAUAAUUAAGUUAGAUGAAUAAACAGAUCAAAUAAAUGAAUUUAAAAGAUUUAAAACCAUCUGAAAGACAAAUUUUUGAAAUUCAAGUUUUGAAACUAAAUUGAAAAUUGAAGUUUUAAGAAAUGAAUUGGAAAAUUGGAAUUUUAGAAAAAUAAUUUGAAAUUGAGAGUCAUGAAAAUUGGAACUUGGAAAAUUACUUGAGGAUUAAAGUAUGGAAAAUUAAAUUUGAAAAUUUGAAGUUUUUAAAAAAAAUUAAAUUUAAGAAUUGAAAACUUGGAAGUUAAAUUCGAAAAUGGAAAAUUUAAAAUAAAAUAAUAAUAAUAAUGAACAAAUGUGAAAAUUGGAACUUUGGAAAAUUGUGAAUUAAAUUUGGAAAUUGGAAUUUUGGAGGAUUAUUUAGAGAUGGAAUUUUAAAUAAAUAAAUAAGUGGAUAAAUAAAUUAAUGGAAUAAUAAUAAUAACGAAAAUAAUAAUGAUUGGAUAAAUAAUUGCGAAAUUGGAAUUUUGGAAAUUGGAAAUUGAAUUUAAAAAUCGGAAAUUUGAAGAAUUAUUUAGAGAGGGAAUUUUAAAUAAAUGAAUAAGUGAAUAAAUAAAUGAAUGGAAUAAUAAUAACAACGGAAAUAAUAAUGAUUAGAUAAAUAAUUGUGAAAAUUGAAAUUUUGGAAAUUGGAAAUUUGAAGAAAUAUUUGAAGAAAGAAUUUGAAAAAUAAAUGAAUAAGUGAAUAAAUAAAUAAAUGGAAUAAUAAUAAUGAAAAUAAUAAUGAUUGGAUAAAUAAUUGCGAAGAUUGGAAUUUUGGAAAUUGGAAAUUGAAUUUAGAAAUCGGAAAUUUGAAGAAUUAUUUAGAGAUGGAAUUUUAAAUAAUUGAAUAAGUGAAUAAAUAAAUGAAUUGAAUAAUAAUAACGAAAAUAAUAAUAAUUUGAUAAAUAAUUGCGAAGAUUGGAAUUUUGGAAAUUAGAAAUUGAAUUUAGAAAUCGGAAAUUUGAAGAAUUAUUUAGAGAUGGAAUUUUAAAUAAUUGAAUAAGUGAAUAAAUAAAUGAAUUGAAUAAUAAUAACGAAAAUAAUAAUAAUUUGAUAAAUAAUUGCGAAGAUUGGAAUUUUGGAAAUUGGAAAUUGAAUUUAGAAAUCGAAAAUUUGAAGAAUUAUUUAGAGAUUAAAUUUUAAAUAAAUGAAUAAGUGAAUAAAUAGAUGAAUGUAAUAAUAAUAAUAACGAAAAUAAUAAUGAUUUGAUAAAUAAUUGUGAAAAUUGGAAUUUUGGAAAUUGGAAAUUGAAUUUAGAAAUUGGAAAUUUGAAGAAUUAUUUGAAGAAAGAAUUUGAAAAAUAAGUGAAUAAAUAAAUGAAUGGAAUGAUAAUAAUAACGGAAAUAAUAAUGAUUGGAUAAAUAAUUACGAAAAUUGAAAUUUUGAAAAUUGGAAAUUGAAUUUAGAAAUUGGAAAUUUGAAGAAUUAUUUAGAGAUGAAAUUUAAAAAAAUAAAUAAAUAAAUAAAUAAAAUAAUAAUGAUAAUGAAGAUAAUAAUGAUUAAAUAAAUAAAUGUGAAAAUUGGAAUUUUGGGAAGUGAAAAUUAAAUUCAGAAAUUAGAAAAUUGGAAUUUAGGAAAUUGGGAAUUAAAUUUGAAAAUGGGAAUUUUUGGAAAAUUAUAUUUAAAAAUUUGAAUCUUGGAAAAUUAAAUUUAAAAUUAGAGUCUUAGAAAAUUAUUUUGAAAAUUGAAUUUUGAAGAAUUAAAUUUAAAAAAAUUGGAGUUUCGGAAGAUUGAAUAUUGAGGAUUAAGGUUUUGUAAACUAAAUUUAAAAUCAGAUUUUAGAAGAUUAUUUAGAAAAUGAUAUUUUUUUUUAAAUAAAUGAAUAAAUAAAUAAAUUUGAAACUUUGGAAUUUUAGAAGAAUUAUUUGAUAACAGAAUUUUUAAAAGAUGAAAUUUUUAACAUGAAAAAAUGAACUAAGAGGAUGGCACGUGACUGCUGCUGUUGGGGGGUGGCCGGAAUAUGGCGGUGGUCUUGCGAGAACCAAACCAGGCGCCACUCUGGAGCUCGUGCUGGCCGGACUCGUCCUAGAUGAGCUGGAAAUCAAGGUUCAGAAGCUUGAAGAUGCGACUGAGCUUGCCUUUUAGGCCCUCCACCUAAACGAUCUUCGCGCCUUUAGGUAUGUCCACCGUUUCUUCAAACAAAUCCGGCGUCGGCAAUGCUUGACUUUCACUAUAGCUUUUCGAGAUUAAUCCGAUCAAGGACCCCACCAUUCUUCCAAAACCUCAAGACAAUACAACUCUAGUCGAGGCUCGAUGGUCCAGUCAGGAGGCAGCCAAGUAUAUUGACCAUCCCUCUCACCUGAGUCGCUUGCUGAGUCGGCGUUGCUGAUGGCGCCACAUCAACUCUUAUGGAAUUCAAAGCCAUAUUGUUCUAGGACCAAGGCUGGAUUUCUUACGUUGCAAGUGCGAAUAUAUAACAGAGGGGUGAGCAACUGCUGUUGGAGCAACAAAUUGGCUAAUUUUGGAAUUUACUGUAACUGGAGAUCACUUCAAAGAUUGAACUUUCUUUAUUCUAUCAAGACCUGCUCUCCCAUGCAUUUUCCCAUUAAGACUAUAUAUAUAUAUAUAUAUAUAUUUAUGGCCCUUCCAAUUUCCUUACCCAUUGCAUGCCAUCCUCUUCACGUAUCUUCCCAUGACCACAAUCCUUCAAUCCCAGCAACUUGGCCAUUGACGAUACCACCCCACCAUCAACAAGAGAGAGAUAGAGAAAAAAAACAUAAAAACUAAGCAUGCCCUUAACUCUAUGUCAUGGACCAUCAAAGAGAUAUGAGCAAGUAGAAUCCGGAGGAAAUAAAAGCAUAGUUUUGAUACAUCAUGUUAUGGAAGGAACAAAACAUAAAAUAUUUUCAAGAGAAGUAAAAAAAAAAAAAACACCGAAAAUAAAUCGGAUACAGAGCAUGCAUACCCAGAGUCCCGCAAAACAAACGACCUAUAAUAUCCACACCAAUCAACAAACCAAAUACUCAUACGAAUAGCUGAAAAUGAGAGUUAAUCAAUGUGGAAAUGAGAAAUAAGGAGCUCACGAAAAGUCAUACCUGGAAUGCUCCUUUCAAGCAAAGAGUGGGUUGGCUUCCAGCAGUGUCGUUUCUUCUCCCCCCCCCCCCCGGGAUGUCUCAUUUUCAGAAUUUUUUUUUGCCACCCCCCCCCCCCCCCCCCAAAAAGGGGGAGAAACGGGUUUUUUUUUUCAGGCGCCCGGUUUUUGGAGCCCCAAUAUGGGCGGCCCCCCAAUUUUUUUUUUUUCAUGACUUUUAUCCGGGGGGGGGGGGGGGGGAGGAAAAAAAAAAANNNNNNNNNNNNNNNNNNNNNNNNNNNNNNNNNNNNNNNNNNNNNNNNNNNNNNNNNNNNNNNNNNNNNNNNNNNNNNNNNNNNNNNNNNNNNNNNNNNNCCCCCCCCCCCCGGUAUGUUUCAUUUCCAGACUUCUUUUUUGCUACCCCCCCCCCCCCCCCCAAACCAGGCUCCUAACCGGUUUUUCUUUUCAGUCGUCCUGUUUUGCUGCCACCACUAGCUCGGCCCGUCCCAUCUAGCUGCCCCAUGCAACUUAAUCCCGGGGUGGUCAGAAGAAUAAUAAAAAAAAAUCAAGGGAGAAUUACCCUUAAGGGUAGGCUGGGGAAAAAAAUGACCAAUGAGGGUGGGUAAAUUUGAUAAUUAUUGUAAAGGGUAGGGUAAAAUUAUGAUAAUUCCUCCAAAGGCCUUAUUUUGUUUAAAUGCCAAUACUACCCUUAAUAAGUGAAAAGCAAGUAAAGUGAAAAGCAACAGAAAAUAAAAAAGAGUUUAUUCUCCCUUUCUUUAACCUACCUGGAGCCGAGUUGUAGAAGAAAAAGGGGAAAGGAAAAAGGUGCGCACUUCAGGUCAUUCUCUGCAACCGAUACACAAAACUUGUUUUUUUUUUUAUGAAUCUAGUAAGAAAUCCAUUAAAGGUCAGUUUUUUUUUUUUUUAAUACAAAAAAAAACGUCAAUUUAUGGAAAAAUAAAUAAAUAAUUUUAAAAUCGGAUUGAAUGAAGGAAAAGUUAAUAAUUUUAACAAUGUAGUUGUAAGAUAUUAGAUUUGAAAUAUUGAAUGAGGUUUUGAGAAAGAAAUUACAUUUUUUUAAAAUGUUAUUUAAAUUUAUUAUUUUGAAUUUUUUUUUUAUAUUAUUUAGGUCAUAUUGAAGAUGUGUUUUUAUUUUUAAUUUAUUUUCUGGGUGGGUUGUUUGAUAUGAUUAUUAUUGAUUUCCAUUGAAAAUGUUUGCACUUUAGUUUUGUUGUUAAGACUUUUUGACAUGAUUGAAGAAAAAAUGUUCUCAGUUGUUUCAUGCUUGUUUGGGACCACUUUGUUUGUGUAUUUAUAAACAUAUUUGGAUUGUCAUUGAAAACUAAAAUCCCCUUUGUACGAGACCACUUUGUCUUUUAUUAUGAAUUUGUUAAAGAGUUAAGAUCACUAUAUUUUUGUUAUAAAUUUGUUACCUUUUUGUAUAAGUAUUAUUUUGGUAUGAUGAGUCGAAUGCCUAGUAGUUUGAAGGUUGUGUAAAAGAACCAUUAUUUCAGUUAUAAAGUAUAAGUACAAUACAAAUGCAAUAUAGUUACAAUGAAAAAAUAUUAACAUUAUGAUACAUUACAAUAUACCAAAAUGACAAAAUAUUGAAUUAUUUUUUACUGAUUUGGCAUUUCUAGGCUAUCAUGUUGUAUUCCUAUCAUAAAGCAUCCUUGCAAGCCAAAAUUAUAAAAAAAAACAACAACAAAAAUACACUAUUGUAAUUUCAAUACAUGAAGUUGUUGAUGAUAAUCCAAUGAUGGAUAAAAAAAAUCUAUAAAAUUAAUUUUUUUUAUAUAAAAAUAUAGAGGUAUAAUAAAAAUACAAUACAAUUACAAUACAAAUACAAUAACAUUACGAUACAUUACGAUAAGGUAAAAUUUUGAAAAUGUCAAAUUUCUUACGAAACUGGGCAAUUAUGGGUUCUUUGGCAUAUCCCUAACAUGUAUAAUAUACAACAAAUAUUGUUAUUUAUUAUAUAAAAUAUGUCUCUCAAUUGAUUAUAAUUUUCAUUUGUUUAUUUUGUAUUCGUUGUAAAAUUUUCAUUGAUUGUAAUAUUGUGAAAUAGUUGUUGAUGAUAAUCCAAUGAUGGAUAAAAAAAAUCUAUAAAAUUAAUUUUUUUUAUAUAAAAAUAUAGAGGUAUAAUAAAAAUACAGUACAAUUACAAUACAAAUACAAUAACAUUGCGAUACAUUACGAUAAGGUAAAAUUUUGAAAAUGUCAAAUUUCUUAUGAAACUGGGCAAUUAUGGGUUCUUUGGCAUAUCCCUAACAUGUAUAAUAUACAACAAAUAUUGUUAUUUAUUAUAUAAAAUAUGUCUCUCAAUUGAUUAUAAUUUUCAUUUGUUUAUUUUGUAUUCGUUGUAAAAUUUUCAUUGAUUGUAAUAUUGUGAAAUAGUUGUUGAUGAUAAUCCAAUGAUGGAUAAAAAAAAAAAUCUAUAAAAUUAUUUUUUUUUAUAUAAAAAUAUAGAGGUAUAAUAAAAAUACAGUACAAUUACAAUACAAAUACAAUAACAUUACGAUACAUUACGAUAAGGUAAAAUUUUGAAAAUGUCAAAUUUCUUAUGAAACUGGGCAAUUAUGGGUUCUUUGGCAUAUCCCUAACAUGUAUAAUAUACAACAAAUAUUGUUAUUUAUUAUAUAAAAUAUGUCUCUCAAUUGAUUAUAAUUUUCAUUUGUUUAUUUUGUAUUCGUUGUAAAAUUUUCAUUGAUUGUAAUAUUGUGAAAUAGAUUGAUUUGAUUGUCGGUGAAAGAAGACGUACUUCUGAAUUGGUAAAUGGACUUGGAAAAUUCCAUUUAUGGCUACCUCAUGAAGGAGGGGAGAUUGUACCUAAGGAGGAUAAACAAAUACAAUACAAGGGUGGACAACAAAAAGACAUGUACAUUGGACAAAGGAUGUCAUAUGCUGAAUUUGUUUCAAAGGCAUGUGAACGGUUGGAUAUUAAUUCAAAUGGAUAUACAUUUCAUUACACCCUUGAGUUUGAUCCAUCUGCACUUCAACAGUUGGAUGAUGAUGAGGACAUGCAUAUGAUGUUAUCCCAUAGUUAUGAUUAUGCUCGUAUUUAUGUAUUAAAACGGACUCGAAGAGUAGAAGUUGAAGGAGGUAUAGUCAAUGUGCAAAAUGAUUAUUGGUAAGUGAUAUAUCUUGUAUUAGUUGUCAUAAAUUCCAUGAUGCAAAGUGAUUUUAAUAUUAAUUAACUGAGUGUGCUAUAAUAUGCAGUCACAAUAGUACGGAGGAAACACACAAUUCAGUUGCAUCAUGUCAAGCAAACAAUGAGUCUAAUUUAGGACUUUCUCAAGGCUUCAUGUCCAGAUGUGCAGAAACUGAAGUUAUGCCACAUGAUUUAAGUCUUUGUCCUCAACCUAUUAUUGGGAGUGGGCAUAGUUUUCCUAAUGCAGAUGAAUUUAGAAAUGCAUUAUAUACGAUGUCAUUAGUUGGUAGAUUUCAAUACAAAUUCAAAAAGAACUCUCCAAAGCGAAUAUCUGUGUGCUGUUUAGUGGAUGGGUGCCCUUGGAGAAUAACUGCUAAUUCAGUAGGCACAACCAAAAUUUUGAAGGUUAACAUCUUCAUUGAUGUACACAAUCAUUAUGCAGAUGUUGAGUGUUCAAGCCAACCUUCAAUGCGGGGAAGGAGAGGUGCUCGUGUCAUAGAGCAAGUAAUAAGGGCAACCCCUCAGUAUUUGCCCCGUCAAAUUUGCAAAGACUUCAGGAGUCGGUAUGGUGUUUCAUUGAGUUAUAAGCAAGCUUGGACAUACAAAGAAAUGACAAAAGAGAGAAUAUAUGGUCUUCCAGAAAACUCAUAUAUGUUGUUGCCAUGGUUAUGUCAGAGAUUGGUAGACAUUAAUCCAGGGACGAUUGCUGAAUAUAGCACACAAGAUGGGCAUUUUUGGCAAUUGUUCAUUGCACAUUCUUUUUCAAUUCAAGGGUUUUUAAUGGGUUGUCGACCUGUUAUUGCAAUUGACUCAACUCAUUUGAGUGGACCGUAUAGGGGCUCUUUAUUUUCUGCAACAGCUUAUGAUGCUGAUGAUGGCAUGUUCCCAAUUGCAUUUGGUGUUGUAAGUUCAGAAAACUAUGAGGAUUGGCUAUGGUUUUUGCAGAAAUUGAAGGGCAUACUUCAAGAUAAAGAGGUAGUCAUAAUAUCAGAUAGGCAUCAAGCAAUCCUUCGUAGUGUUUCUCAACUUUUUGGAGUAGAAAAUCAUGCAUAUUGUUAUCGUCAUGUGAAAGAGAAUUUUAGUAGCUAUGUGACGAAACAUAGUAUGAAGGGAAAAAAAUGUAAAAUGGAUGCAUUGUUGCUACUUGAUAAUGUUGCGUAUGCUAGGUUGGAUGAUGAUUAUGUUGUAGCCAUGGAAAAAUUAAAGACAUAUAACAGUGACCUAGCGAAGUGGGUUAAAGAGAACGGUCCACAACAUUGGGCAAUGUCAAAGUUUGCCAAAAAACGAUGGGAUAAGAUGACAACUAAUCUUGCUGAAUCAUUCAAUGCUUGGCUGAAGGAGGAACGCCAUUACACAAUUUUCAACUUAGUAAUGACACAUAUGGAUAAGUUUGCUCAUCUAGCAUGUGAUCAUAUGGGUUCUACAGAAAAUUGGAAAGCUGCAAUUGGCCCAAAGACCGAGGAAAAGUUGUUGGAAAACAUUAUAAAGAGUGGGUCAUUGCCUGUAUAUCCCUAUGUUGGUGGUGUGUUUAAGGUAUUCAAUAUGAAAGUAUAUGUAGACGUGAAUUUGAGAGAGCGUACAUGUACUUGUAAGGCUUGGCAAAUGGCCGGAAUACCUUGUGAGCAUGCAUGUACAGCAAUAUGCCAGAUGAAACAAGAUGUUUAUGAAUAUGUUGACUCAUAUUUCAAGCUUCCAAUGCAAGAGUUGAUAUAUUCUGGACACUUCAAUUCAAUUCCAAAUCACAAUAUGCCUAUAGUUGAUGCUGAUGGAUGUGUUCGUGAUGUUCAAGGUCGCUUAUAUCCUUCGCUUAAACCUCCAUGCUCAAAACGACCACCUGGAAGGCCUCGACACCGUCGAAUAGAGUCGCAAUUUAGUUCAAAAAGGCUUAUCUUCUGUUCAUGAUGUCAAGUUGCAGGCCAUAAUCAAGCUUCAUGCAAAAAUCCAUUACCCGCUCCAUGAUUCUAGUGUUAUGCUUGUUUGGUGACAUGCUACUUUUUAUCUUAUUUUGAUUGUGAUGAUGUGUGGUUUAUGAAAUUAGAAUCUGUAAGAAUUUGUUUUGGAACUUACUUAUUUACUUGAUUGUCAUGACAAAGAUGCUUGUAUUACAUAUGCCACUAUUUUAGACUUAUGAUCUUAUCAUUAUUUAGGGUGGUUUGUAACCAUGUUUUUAAUGUUAUUUUGAAGAUCAUUAUUGACUUUGUACAUGUUCAUUACAUUUGUUUAACUUGUUUUCCAUUGAAAUACAGGUUACAUCAUGGCAUCUUCAAGUGCUUCAUUUAGAAAUAUAAGAGGUAAUAUUAGAAAUGGUGAAUAUUUACUUUAUCAUAACUGUAUGUGUAAAUGUUCACCCAGACAGAGGGCGGCUGUUAGAAUCUCUGAAUCAAAGGAUAACCCAAAUAGGUUAUAUUAUUGUUGUCAAUAUGCAAAUGCUAGAGAUGACUGUCAUUUCUUUAAAUGGGCAUUCCCGGAAGGAAAUGGUGAUGGCAACACCUACCAAGAACCAGAAGAGGUUGUUCAAAGAAAAAUGUAUGGCGUGGAUGAAGAUUUUAAACAUAUUUUAACAAGAAUUGAGUUCAUGCAGAAAGUAAUUGUAGUAGGACUACUUUUAUUUUUUGUUCUAUGUUUGAAAAUUGCUUAAUCAUACACUUACUUCAUGUCUAUUAAGUUUUGGAUUAUAUAUGUAAUGCUUAAUUGUAUUGUACUUUGAUGUAUUUGUAUUUGGAGUUAUUUAUAAUAGGUUAUUUAUCUCCAUUAUGUGGACUUGUAUUAGAUUUUUAAUUAUAAUAGUUCACAGUUUUGCCUACAUUUUUAAUUACAUUUACAACAUAAAUUCACUAACAUUACGAUAAAAAAACACUAACUGUAUGAUAAAUUACAACAUAAACUAACAAUGCAAUCUUUUGACUAAAUAAAGUCCAAUUUCUUGGGUUGAUUACCAAUUUCUUAUAUAUAAUGGUUCAAUAUUUUUUUUUUUUUUUUGUAACCUCAAAUUAGAAAUGUCUUCUUAGCUUUGAUAAUGAGCUGUUGUAUUUUUUUUUUAAAAAAAAAAAAAUUGCAACGAUCUGAAAACAUUAUAGAAUAGAAUUAUUCAUAAACUUAUUUGCCUGUAAAAAUAAAUUAUAUUAAUUUUUUAAUUUAUUAAAUUAAAAUCUAUUUCUUAUUUUUCUAUUUUUUUAAUAAUUUUUUUCGUUGAAAUGGACUCAAAAUGGUAGCUUUUACCAUGCAAAACUAGAGUGUAAAACCUUUUGUCAUUUAGUUAUAAAGACUUUGAAAUACUUGAAAUUACUCUCUUAUAAGUUUCUUGAAAAUGUAAUAUGUUUAAUAGGAAUUUUUUAAAAUAAGAUAAAAUAAUAGACCUCAUUGUGUGUUUAUUACUACAGUGAAAAAAAUUUGCUACAAUGAAUCAGUGAUUGUGCAAUUUUAUGUCGUUGGAGUUAUAAUAAUAGACCUCAUUGUGUGUUUAUUUUAUGGGUUAGAUUUCUCAUUGUAUGACAAUAUAAUUAUGAAAUCAAUCUCAUUUUUUGAAGUUUGGGAAAUGAUGAGAGAUUCAAACAGGUUAGCAUAGGCUUAAUGGUUUUUUUGGCAUGCUGAAUAUUUUUUGCACGUCAGUCUGAUCCCAAACUUUGUGAAGUACAACAAAUAUGACAGUCUUUUUGUUUUGUUCUUGAUGUUGUUAUUUCAAUUCUGCUUUGGCAGAAAAAAAACAAAAAAAUUGAUCACCCAAGUAGUUGAGCUAAGUUAUCCCAGAUUGGCCUAUCAUUGAUGCGUUGGAGUUAUCAAUGUGUGAUAUCAUUUUGAUACCAUGGAUUUGGGAAAUGAUGAGUUGACAGUGCAAUGCCUACAGCAAUUUAGAGAAAUUUGAAGAUCACAAACAAAUGAUGGCAUAACAAUAAUUAUUAAUAAAUAGUAGCAGCUAUGAGUUCCAAACAAAUUAGUUGAUGUAAGCCAAUUUAUAAAAAAAUAUCAGACUAGUAAAUUUGGAAAUGGAACUCCAUCAGACUAUAAAAAAAUAUCAACAACUAUAAACCAAAAAAAUUACAACAUCACUGAUCCAUAGCCUGGUAGACAUUUUCCCUGACUUCAUUUUCUGGAGACAUUAUCAGUUGUGUUAGGAGUUUUUCCCUGUACUUUAUGACCUUGUCCUGUACAAAAGAGUAUAUAAUAUAAUAUUAAGAAAAAUUCAUGAUCAUAAAAAAAAUAUAUAUAUAUUUUAUUCACCACAAUAUAAUACAUUUGCAAUUGCACGAGAAAUUCCACGGUUACUCCAUAAUUGCAUAAACUUGAUUAGAAAUAUGCCACAAUCCGUUCUGCAAAUAGUAAUUAAGGAAAUUAUAAGUCAAUUGGGUAUCAAAUUAGUAAAUUUAUAACCUGAUUUGCUUUCCAUAGUUAAAGAGGAAUACAAAUCAUGCAACUUACGGAUUCAAUUGUUGGACAACUUCUGGAACAACAAAUUCAUAUUCUGUCAUGUCCACUGAUGGUCUUCUUUCUUGAAUCCCAAUGACAGUUGACAAAACGUUCACCUUAACACAAUAUUCAAUUAUAAAUAUGGACAUCUUUAAAAAAAUAAUGACAACGAUUCACAUAAGUAAUUGGACUAUAACUAUAUUUACCAGUUUCUCUAUGAAGGUAUCCAUCCGUUUUUUCCUUCCGUCAAUUAAUGAAUCCAACAACUCUAUUCUUUUCGCAUGAAUAUUCAAAAUGAUUAAAUACCAAUGAUUUUUCCUGCAUAUUGGUAUGAACAACUAAAAGGAACAAAAAAAAAAUAAAACAAUGAUUUUAUCAAAUUAGUUGUGUUCAUGUAUUUUCUGCACAAUACUUAAAAAUAUCCAACUACAAAGUACUUUUAUUAAACUAAAUAAAACCUGUUCAUAUGUGCACAACCGAGUAUUUUUGAAAUAUUUCCAUAAAUUGUCACAUAUGUAUUUUGGAGAUAAGGAACCCCUCUUGUUUUCCACAUCAGACUGUAAUAAAAAAAUUACAAACCAUACAUUAGAUUAAAACAAUCUACGUAAAACAAGAAAACCAAUCUAUAAUUCUUACAACAUAUCUUACAACAAAGUUUGGAGAUAAGAAAUGCUUCCUAUUUUCUUUAUCCAUACCAUUCAAAAUUCGACAAUGCAUGGUUACAACCUUCAUGUAAAUUAAUGAAAAUUAGAUAUAUAGUUUUAGAGUAAUUUUAUCCUAACUUCACAUAACUAAAUAUGAAUACCUUAUUGUCAACCAAUUUGUCGGGUCCCAAGCAUUUCAAGUCAAACCUUGUCAAGAAGAAAUUGUGCAUGGAACAUAAUAUUUGGCUACACAUAAAUAAUUAUGAUGUUAGAAAUUAAAACUAAUUAUUUCAAAUGCCUAUCUUAAUUGUAUUUGUUUAUACUAAAUUAAGUUCAACCUUACCUUUCAUCACGUGUAUCGUCCAAUGCAUAUGCCAAAACUUGCUUUGCUACAGAUGAAGACGCUGAAAAUUUGAUUGACGGUUGUACCACGUAUGGUGAUUGUAGGGCAGUAGCAUGUCGACGUAGCCGAUAUGAACGUAUUGGAGGAUGUCCAGUCUCGUAAGGAAUAAUAGCAUUCAUCUGAACUUCAUCCUCAACUAUAUGUAUAGAAAAUAAAAGAAAAUAAAAUUCACUAAUGAAAAUAACACGCAUAGGAAAUACUAGCCAUUAUUAUAUACUCAUUAUUAUUUUGAUAUUAAAACAUAAAGAAGCAGAAAGUAUACUGCUAUGCUGCGCUGCUGGCUGUGAGGUUGAUGGGCCUACAUUAUCUUCACCAUCAGCAAAACGAUCAUUCAGUGGCGAUCCAUAAGCUAAUUUCAGAAUGCAUAAUAACCAAAAUUAUUAUUUCCAAAAAAAAAAAAUUAUACAACAUUUGCAAUUAAAUUAAAAGUAAUACAAAAUUAUAAUGACUAGUGCUAUAAAAAUCGUACUACCAUGUGGUGGUGAUGGGAAAGAAUCAUUGAUAUCAGGUUGAUUAUGACUUCUGCUUUGAUGAGAAGAUGAUGGGGUUUUAUUUGUAUUCUGCCGCUUUGCUAGUUUACCAAUUGCUCCUCUCAUUGUUCGAAGCAAUUGGUGAAUUUGUCUCUCUGCUGCAUUAUAUUCUGCUAUAAUUUCCUACAAAAUGGUACAAAGUGUCAAAGACGUAUAUUAUUAUGCAUAACAUGUUUGGUUUUCGCUUUAAAUAAAAGAAUAGAUGUAGAAGGUUCUCACAUCAGUAGUCUCUUCUUCAACUUCAUUUACUGGAUUACCAGGGUCUUCAUGUGCAUCUUCCUCCCUUUCAUCUUCUUGAACCUAAAAUAAUAAAAAGAAGAAUAUACAAUUUUUAUAAAUUUAUUUUUCAAAUAUGAAAAUAAAAUAAAAUGUUGAAAGAAAAUUGUCUCUUACAUCAGCUAGUCCAAAAUCACCAUAAUCAUGCAAUACCGCAUGCACCCUUUUCUUCAUCAAGUCAUCAGUCCACGCUGCACAUAUUGGGAUGGUACGUGGUACCAACAUGGUUGGAAUGUAAAAUUUAUUUAAAUAAAAAAGCUGAAACACAAAUAUUCCACACAUCAAUACGUUAUUUAGAAAAGACUUGUUAAAACAUAUAAAAUGAUAUGGAAACCUUCAACAUUUAAUAAAAAAAGGUAUCUACCUAUAAAAAAAUAAGGCAACCUGUAAACCAUGAGCCUUUACCCAAUCGAAAAUGUCUAAUUCCAGCAACCAGUGUGUCAAGUACAAAUUGACCCCAAUUAACAUUGAUGUCAAAGUCUCCAGCAAGCAAAGUACACCACAACUCAUGACUACCAUCCAACUUUGAUGUUGGAGCAAGUAAUGUAGCACAUGAGAAGAAGAUAAACAAUUUUUUGAACUCGGCCAUGUCUUCCAUUAAAAUCAGCCUAUCUCUAAGAUCUGAUAGGUUUUCCAUCCUAUCAUUCCUAUUGGUAGGUGAAAGUAGGAGCCUCCUACCAAUAUAUGGAAUACCCAGAAUUUCACCUACAUCAGAACAAGUUAUUGGAAAUUGCCUUUCUUGUCCUAUGUCUAACCUACAGUGGGCUAUAUUGAAAUGAGUUAUUAUCCAUCUACAUAAGCUAUGCCUUAUCUCUGUGGAAGAGAGCUGAAGUAAUCCACCAAAGCCAAUAUGUUGAAUUAUACUCUUCUUUUCAUCACUUAGCUCAUCAAGUAGAUGUCUAAGUUUUUUGCUGGAGCAUCGACUAUUUAUUUUGACCUCCUGUAAAAGUAAAUAAAUGAUAAUAUAAAAUUAAAAUGAAAACAGUCAAAUUAAACAACAAUGUCAAACAUUAAUAUAGUCAAAAUAAAAUAAUACUAAUUAAAAUAAUGUUCAAACCUGGUUGUAUUGUAUUGUUUUUUUCCUUUUAUCCAUGUAUUAUACUCCACACUGCACUAUGGAAUUUAUAUCAAAUAAUCAAUUGUCACAAUUAAAUAUAUAAUGAAUCAAGUAAUGUUGUAAUAUAUUGUACUUCUAGUGCAAUUGUAUUGUAAAUGUAGGGCAUUUGUAUUGUCGCCUUAUUUAUUUUAGUUUAACUACUAUUAGUGAUCCCAAAUACAGUUACAUACAUGCUACUAAAAACACACAGAGCCAUUGUAUUAGUGGAUAACAAAUUUAAGUUGUUUGAUGGUAAUCCAAUAUGUACAAAUUGUUAAUGCUCAUCAUGGCUAACCUUUUAAAUCAUAUAUAAUUCCCCCAAAUUAGCCCACUGAUCAAGAAAUAGACUUUAGUUGCUUAUAGAAAAGCCAAAGCCAAGAACCCUUUAUUGCCAGUUCACCCUUUUCCUUUUUUCUUUUCCUUUUUGUUAUUUUAGUAACCUGUCACAGAACCUCAAUAUAUGAAAUAUUGACAAAUUUGCAUAUUGAAUAAUGCUCAAAAAGGGUUUGUGAAAAAAAUUGAUGAGACAGGGCUUUGUUAAGCCAAGUCAAGUUGUACAUAUUUUAUACAUCUCCACUUUUGCCUUCUGUAUUACAAAAUAUAAUAUGGUCAGCCCAACAACUGAAUUUUUCAUCAGUUUCCUUGAGUAGAUACCAUGAAACAAAGGGGUAGCAUAUAGAAAUUAUCAUCAUAUUUAUAAAAACAAUACUAGCGAAGAUUGCUAAAUGAAAGUGCAAGGAUAUUCUUGAUGACAAAAGAAAAUAAAAAAGGGACUGAUGUGCAGUUCUUAAAGAAUAAAAAUUUCAUUCCAUGCAUAGAGAUCCAAUCCUGCUAAGAUGCUAUCAAAUUUUCUUGGCUUGAAAGAGCACUUAAAUAGAAGGAGUUUAAUACAAAAGGAGUGACCCCAAAAUGUUUUAAAAAGAAUAGUUCUCGAGAGAAAAAAACAAAAUUUUCUGAGAUUCUGUAAUGAAAGAAAACUUACCAGGAGACCUUGUAAUAAAAAGAAUCUAUAAUAGAUAAAAAUUUCUUCAGACACAUGAAAAUUCAACCCUUUCUAGGAUGAUGUAAAAUUUUCUUGGGUCAAAAAAGAGGAUUAGAGGAUUUAUGCUGAAGGAGUUCACUUACCAAAAGCAACCAAUAGAAUGAUUACAUAAAUCAGUUUCAUAAGAGAAGAUAUCUGAGAUUUUAUACAGUGAAAGGAGUUUUCAAGGGAAACAACCAGUUGAUUUAAAAGUAAAUAAAUUUCAUGAAUGAAAUUACUAUAUGAGAUUUUCAAUGAGAGAAAAUGAGUCAAUUCCAAGAACAUUACCUGUCUAAGAAUUGGGGUGGCACUUGUUUCUCUUAACUUUUGAGCAUCUGAGUAAGUCAAGCAUGGAACUGGUUUCAGUUCUGCAUACUGCAAAACAGUAAAAGGGCUAUGCCAUCAUGCACGUGGAAAAAAAAAAAAGAAGCAUAAUUUGAUUUCCAUCACCAUUAAACUAAAGAACUCAGUGGUGUACCACUUUUACCACAGAAUAUCUAACACCAACCUGGAAAGGAAAGCCAGUGAACUACAUGGAAUGCAGGCCAAAUGGGAAAACAAAAAGAAGAAAAAAGUUAAGUCUCCAAAUGGAGAAAAUAGCUUAAACAACAUGACAGGUGGUUAGAUCAACGCAACUGGUGAAAAUUGAGAUUUUAAAAAUACAAUAUUGUUAUCUAUUCCUAGUAUUCUCACAGAGUGGGAAGGUUAAACUUCAAGGCAUAUGGGACUUGGCCAUGGAUACUAUCUCAUGGAAGUAGCAACAAGCUAUGGCCCAACACAAAUAGCAAGCUGGGCAGCUGGCAGAAAAAAAAAUGUUUGAUUUAUAGUUGCAUUAAGAAGUGAAUGAGGAAGAUGAGGACAAGCAAGUGGACAAUGAGGAUGAGCUUGGAGAUAAUGAAUUGCUUGAGGAUGAAGAUUUUAAUCUAGUGGAGACAGUUUUGAUUUCAACUCAAGAAUGAACUCUUGCAAUUGUAAUUUCAUUUGGAUGAUGGUGACAGUUCUGAGAUUGUCUUGUUUUGUGAAAUUUCAACUUGAAGAUGCAGAGAAAGCCCUCACUUUAGGUCCAUUGUUGGCUAAAUUCAACACCAUGAAAGUGAUUGGGAGAAAGGGUUAUGUCUCUUUUAUUGAUUAUAAGGUACUAGAAACUGCAACAAACAAUUUUCAGGAAAGUAAUAUCCUGGGUGAGGGCGGGUUUGGUUGUGUCUACAAGGCGCGGUUGGAUGAUAACUCCCAUGUGGCUGUGAAGAAGGUAGAUGGUAGAGGCCAGGAUGCUGAGAGAGAAUUUGAGGUAUAUAUCUUUUGUUAAGUAAAACAAAUGAAUUGGCUUCCAUUUUGGGGGUUUGGCAUAUUACCUCUCAUCAUGUUCUUGAUCACAUUUGAAAAUGCAGAAUGAGGUGGAUUUGUUGACUAAAAUUCAGCACCCAAAUAUAAUUUCUCUCCUGGGUUACAGCAGGCAUGAGGAGUCAAAGUUUCUUGUCUAUGAGCUGAUGCAAAAUGGAUCUCUGGAAACUCAAUUGCACGGUAAGAGUACGAGGAUUUUCCCAUUAGUUAAAAAGACGAAAACAAGGAGAAUACUGAUGUUUUCUUUUUCUGUCAUCUGACUGAUGUUUCAGGACCUUCUCAUGGAUCAUCUCUAACUUGGCAUAUUCGAAUGAAAAUCACUUUGGAUGCAGCAAGGUGAAUUUGCAGACCCCAAUGCUAAUCUUUUUCUUACUAUUUGAUAUUCUGUAUAAACAAAGUUGGUUGUGUUGACCAGAGGAUUAGAGUAUCUACAUGAGCACUGCAACCCACCAGUCAUCCAUAGAGAUCUUAAAUCAUCUAAUAUUCUUCUGGAUUCAAACUUCAAUGCCAAGGUAAAAACAUACAAAAGUUGUGGAAUCUUUUAGGUCUUUGUCUAUAAAAUUUAUGACAGUGCACCAGAACAUUGCUGAUAUAUAUAUAUAUAUAUAUAUUUUUCUUUUUUGUGUUCUCUGGCUCUCUCUUGUGGAUUAGCUUUCGAAUUUUGGUCUAGCUGUAAUUGAUGGGCCUAAAAACAAGAACAACUUGAAGCUUUCAGGCACCCUGGGUUAUCUAGCUCCUGAGUAUCUUUUAGAUGGUACAGAAUCUAAACUUCUUAUAGUUUUUUUUUUUCAUAUCCACAUAUUUUAUUUUUCAUAAAUAUGACUAUUGAAAGCUUCAAACAUGCUGUAAAAUAGCUCGGAUCUUGAUAAACAUAUUAAAUCAUUAAAACUUUAGAUUGCUCAAAACUGUUGGUAUGGGAUUCCUGAAAGAGGGUUAGUUGAUUCACUAACUUGGGAACUCUAUUUCAGAUUGACAAAGUCAGACUUCCGGGAGCCAGUGAAUAUUGGAAGUGAUGAAAUGGUUAGUAUGAAUGAGAUGGCUGAAAUUGUCCUAAGCUUUGAGAAUAAGAACCUACCCAUCCAUCACAUUCCUGGCCCAGAGGGCGUACGUGGUCGAAACUCACACAAUAAUCUGAUCAAGGAGAAGCUUGUUGGUUUCCCAUGUAAUUUCCAACAAUUUUCUCGACUAUGGUUAGAUCACUGACAAUGAUCACACCAUAUGCAAUUAUUCUGUCAACCUCCACGCUGGUAAGGAGUCAAACACUACUCAUCAGAAUUUGGCCACUGCUCUCCAUAAUUUGGAGGUUGUUCUCCAGAGGCUGAACUACUACAUUUUGUGACAAGCGCAGAGUUUUGCAGUAAGGAUUCAGCUGAUGGAUCCUUAGAGGUUUUGAGCAUUACUCACUUUCUACUUUCUUCCCAUCUAACUUCAGAAAAGGCAUCUUGAAUCCCUGGCAAGGGUUUUGUUCCCAAAACGCAUCCACGGGCCUCAUCUAGGUUGUUAAGACCAUGGAGAAAAGCAAACAACCUUUCUUUCUCCAGUUUCUUGGUAUAUUUUACGCAAUAAUCAGGGCAAGCCCCAGUGUUAUCAUCAAACAAAUCCAACUCCUGCCACAAACCAAUCAAGGUAUUGUAAUAAUCUAUCACCGUGAAAUCACCUUGCUUCUUCUCCUUGAGUUUGGAUUGUAGUUCAAAGAGAUGAGAAACAUUGCCAAGAUCUGAGUACAUAACCUUGGCAGUGUCCCAAAUCUCUUUCGCUAUCUUGUAAGAGAGAUAAUUCCACCCUAUUUUAGGCUCCAUCAAGUUUACCAGCCAAGCCAUCACCAUGGAAUUCUUGGAUUCCCAUGUGAGUUAGCCAUGUUUAGUUGCUGCUGGUUUUUGAGUCUCCCCUGUUAAGUAGCCUAGUCAUCCCUUGCCACGAAUGACGAGAAGGACAGAUUGGGACCAUUCCUAAUAAUUGCUCCCAUUUAAUUUAUGUUGGGUAACCUGCAGGGUGUGAGAUUCAGCAAUAUUGUUGGCAAGAAGAGAGUUGGAUGGUUGGGUAAUUGUCUCGAAGGAUACUCUAGAGGUUCCAUCACGAGCAUGGCCAGUCAUUUGUUUUAACCAUGGACAAUAACCAUUUUUUUAGGAAAUCAAGGAGUGCUCUGAUACCAUAUUGAGUUGAAAAAGAUAAUUUUUUAUUCAACCUGAUUUUCCACUGCAUCAAACUCUGAUUUAUAGAGUUACAACACAUGUAAAACAGAAGCCAGAGAUAACCUCUUGGCUGACCUGAAAUCUAGGAACAAAAAAAUAAAUUCAAAAAUAAACAACCUGAUCAGAUAAGAUAACUGCCUAACAAACAAAUCUGAUCUGAUGUUUUAUUAAAUAACACAAAUUUAAACUAACUAGAAAAAACGUAACCUUUCAAUAGUAGGCUACCAAGAUAAUAUGACAUAACUAAAAACAAAAAUGUGCUACUUAACAUGGUAACAAAAGAUUGUAUUUAUUCUCAAAUAUCCUGAAUCUAUUCAGAUUCCAAACCUUUUCCUGAAAAGAAAAGGCUGCAAAUUUAUGGAUGACAUCUCAUUAAUUCCCAAGUUAUUCCUGGAUAAUACUAAGAAAUCUCAAAUAAUUUGUUGUGCAGCAAGUUCAAAUGAGUUCAGUGUUAUAUUAUUACUAAAUCUUGGAUUUGUGGGGAAAAUUUUGUGGCAAAUUUUAAUUUUUGCCUCAUACUUAUUUCUUAGCAGAAUUUUGGAUUUAAUUAUACGAUGAAGGAUUAAUAAUUGAUUAGAUUAUGGUUUUUGGAUAGAGUAAGUUGAUUUUAUUAAAUUUGAAAAUUUGAAUAAAUUGAAUGUUGUUGGAUUAGAGAUUUGGAUAUUUGGUUGGAGGUCUAUUGUUCAUAAUUGGUGCUUUUGUGGAUUGAAUGAUUGAUUGGAUUAAGGUUCUAGGAUAAAGGAAGUGGAUUCAGACAGUAUUUUUUGGUCUUGGAUAUGUUGAGUGAAUUUUUGGUUUUUCUUGACCUUUGUUAAUGGUGUUAAGGAACAAAGUCUUGAUAAGGGAGGCUGAGUAAUAUUUGAAAAUUUAUUUUAUAUUUGUGUUUCUAAAUCAACCAAGACCAUUAUUUUUUAGUAUUUUUUUAAUGCAUUAAUGUUGUGAAUCCAAAUUAGCCAAACAACAAGAAAAAACUGCAAUCUGAAAUGUAAAUCACAGGCAACACACAAGUUGCUAGAACAAAAAAAGACAAUUAAUGGAAUGAAAAUAUCAGUCUCAUUCCCAAAGCCCUGUUCCAUGAAGCAAACAUGGCUUUUAAGGUUUUUAAAAUGAAACCUUUAAGCCAUUAAAGGCAGAGCAUUUUUCUCAAGGACAAGAACUAGCCAUUAAAGCCAACUUUAUUUAUUGUUAAUUAUAUUUUUGAGAGUAUUGGCGUUUAAUAAAUCAAAUUCUUUAGUUGUAACUACAUUGUUUUUUCCCAUCUGGUGCAUGCCACUGCCACAACAGGAGGUCCACUACCAGUUCCCACAUUACAAUCAACAAAAUUAAUUAUAUGUUCAAACUUGUUUUUGAUUUUUAAUAGAAUCAAAACAACAGAAAAUACAUCUCAGUUGAUUCCAAGUUUAACUAGGGAUCCAAGAACAUAAGAAAGUAGCUCAGAACAGCAUUUUCUAAGAAAUUUGACCACUGCCAUGAUUACAUUUAUUAAGGAGUUCAAGGAUUCAAUAUUUUUUCUCAUAUAUUUUCCUCUAGCUUCUCGGCAUCCAGACAGAUUACCUAAAUCAACCUCUAUCAACAGUCAUAAUACUAAAUAAAUUGGCACAGCCCAAUUCCAAAUGGGUUUCAGAAUUAGACCAAUUGCAUCUAAACAAAACCAUGUUGAUUCAUCAUCAAAUCUUCUAGCUAAUCACAAACACAAGCAAAUACAACAACAGUAAUAACAAUUACGGGUCCGUUUGGAUGCUGAGAAAGUAGAAAAUAAAAAUUAAAGAAAAAACGUGAACUCACACAAAAACCCAAAUACCCGAUACCCACAUUCUUUGUAAUCUCAAACAAAAUCAGUAGCCUAGAAAUCUUUUCUCAAAAAUGAACUCAAACAAAAAAACACCCAAACAACUCCUCUAACAGAGCCUAGAAACUCAAUAUUCUAAGACGUCAAUUUCUUUUCUUUCCUUACCUUUUUCCCACCACCCAAGCAAAGCACAAAACCACUCUCGGCCAAAGAAAAGCCUUGCAAUUGCCCACCGUUUGGUUCCUGAGAAAACGAAAAGCAAAACAAAAGAAAAACCCUGGUGAGUUGACUUUUUUUAUUUCCGUUUCUGGGUUUCCUUAUACUCAAAAAUUGAAAGUGAAACCCCAAGUUUAUUUUUUUUUUCCCAAAUUUUCUCAGCAACCAAACAGACCCAAACCCAAAACACUUAGGGCAAAGCAUGAAAUAAGCAGAAUGUAACAAAUAAAGAUUUGUACUGCUUCUGAUCUCAAGGUGGAAACGCCAUAAAUAUAAAUAUGGGGGCUUUGAAAUGAAAUAUUUUGGGGGAUUGGGAUAGAUUUGGAAGGCUUUGUGAGGACUUUACCUUGGACUAGUGGGGCUUUUGUGCAGAUCCAGCCUCUGGAAGGUUCUUCACCUCAGGCGACGGCCUCCGAGACUAAUCCGGAUUUUCUGUUUGGGUUGGAUAAAGGGCUCGCUCCGCCUCCCCCCGUGAAAUUGCAGGAUCCAACGCCUCCACCCACGGUUCCAGAUGUGCUUCCCAAGGAUUAUUCAGUGAGAUCGGAUCCAGGAUCGGAGGAUCGCCAUGUUGUUGGAGAUCCAGUGGUGUCCCCCGCGGACUUCCAGAGGCAGAUCCAAAUGGAACAAUCGUCUGGUGACAAUGGCUGGUUCAAUGGUCAAAUUGAGGGUAAAUUAGUCUAAUAAAAAUAUAAGGCCUUUAGAAGAAUUAUCAAAUUUACCCACCAUUUUUAGUAAUUUUUUUCCCCAGCCUACCCUUAAGGGUAAUUCUCCCAAAAAUCAAACCCCUCCAUCACAAGGGAAGGGUCUACACAUAUCUAUUUAGUACAAUAAAAUAAAAUUUUCCUAUAUUAUGGUAGAAGAUGGUAGAGUACCAUCUAAAGAGAAAAGAAUUGAUCAUAAAAAUCAAAUAAAAUAAUAUAAAAACACUCCAAAUAAAAUUAGGAAAAACUUUAUAUAAGAGAGGAAAAUUAAGUUAAUAAAUUCGAAGUAGUAAAUAAAAGAAAAAUUAUUCAUUUUAAAUAUAAUUAUUUUUUUUCUUUCUACCAUUUCUCUCUAAUUUUUUUUCCCUUAUAUUUUCCUCCAAAUUUAUAGAAGCCAAAGCCAAGAAGGCCUAUGCAAGCUGAGAAAUGAUGUAAAAAGGGGAGAUGGAUCUAAUCGGACAAUAAAUGAAGUUGUGGACCCUGCAUUUUGCUCGAUGUUUUCCCACUCGAUGGCGAAAACUCGUUUUUUUUAUUUUGUUUGGUGAAAAUUUGAUUUUUAGAAAAAGACUUGGAGUCGCCACUUAUUUUUGUUUUAUUUUUAAAGGGAAAAACAAAAUAAGAAAGAAAAACCCUAAGUAUGACUCCUGAAGGAAAAAAACGGGUCUGUGAAAAACUGAGUCUAGGUCCGGGGGUUAGGUUACUCAUUGGGAAGGUACGGUGGUAAGUCGUAACACUCCUCUAAGCCCUUAUACGUACGACCUUUACUAAACGAAUUGAGGAAAUUGUGGCAAUUAAUUAUAGAUACCAAAAAAAAAAAAUCAAUAUACAAGUUAUGGUGAAAAUUAAUAUGCACAAAAACAAUGAUGAAAUCUAAUUACAAAAAUACACAAAAUAAAUAAUAAGAGAAUUAUGCAAAAUGAUUUAUUGAAUUAAAUAAAUAAAAUAUAUUAAAAAAUGUUUUAAAGAAAUUUCAAAGGAUUUUAUUAAAAAUGAUUUUGAAUUAAUGAUUUCCAUUUAUUUACUUAUAAAGAAGUAUCAAUUUAUUUUCUCAAUUUUAGUUGUAUUCAAUUUUCAAAAAAACUAUUUACACUUACUGCAUCAAAAGAAUUUAUUACAAAAUUUUAAUUUGGGCACAAAAAUUAAUUUUACUUGCUUUUACUAGAAAAUAAUGAAUUUUUACAAUUUUAUUUACAAAAGUAUUUAGAUUCAUUUUCAUUUAAAAGAGUGAUUUUUAUAAAUUAUUUAAAAUGACAUAACUUUAUUUGCAAAAUAAUUUUAAUUAAAAAGAAAAAUAAAUAUUUAAAUUCUCUAUUUUUGAAAAACACUUUUAAUCCCAUUUUAAUUAAGGAAAAAGAAUUCAUUUGAAAAAAUAUUUUUAGACAAUUUUAUUAAAAAUUAAUUUUUGGAACAACUUUAUUUACAAAACAAUUUUUGGACAAUUUUUAUUAAACAAAGAAAUUUUUUAACAAUGUCAUUAAAAACAAUUUUUCGAAUUCUAUUAAAAACAAUUUUUUUGGAUUUUUCUAAAUGCAUUUUUCUGAAUUUUUAUAAAUAAUAAAAAAAAACUUUCUUUUAUUAAAAAGAAUAUUUUAACAUUAGUAUUUUAUUAGAACAUAUUUACUGAAUUCUUCCUCUCAUUUAAAUAAAAUUUCUAAUUUAUUCGAUGUUUAAUUCUGUACACACUCAAUAAAUAUAUAUGAACAAAUAUUUACAAUAACUAAUUAAAAUAGAACCAAAUAAAAGUGGGAAAUAAAAUAUGUACCCAAAUAAACUUACAAUAAAUUCACGUAUCAUCAAUUCGUACUCAGCCAAUAAGAUUGCAGAAUGAGUCCAUGCAAAAACAAAAUAGCACAAAUGUAAAUAUCCAGAGAUAUAUAAAAUCCCAAACAAAUAUUCAAACCCAAAUUCCAAUUUCAAAUUAGUCUCAUAAAUUUCGUCAAUUAAAAUGAGCUCAAAUUACUAUAGGUCUUAACUCAGAAUAUCCAAAUUAAUAACCAAAAAUACAAACACAAUUAACCAAACCUAAAAUUGGAUAAAUUAAAAUAAAUUCUACUAGACCUAAAUUUAAUAUUUCAUAAUCUAUGCCUAGUUUAAUGUACACCACAAUUUUCCCAUGUCCUAAUUAAACAAUUCAAAUUGGCUAAGCCCAUAUCAAAUAUUCAAAUAAUCCAACAAAUCCCACCCACAUUAUGGGCCCCAAAAUUCACAUCAAUUAACAAGCUCACAUAAAAAAAUACAUGGUCAAGAGAAAUAAUAUUUCAAGCCCAAUCCAAUAAGCUCAAACAAAUAACAACUUAACAAUAGACCCAAGUCCAAAUAAGCAAUAUGCACUUGAUAUAAUCCAAAUAUCCUCAAAUUAAUCACCAAAUACAAUAUACCCAUAAACCCAAAUUAACAAAUUUCAAAUUAAUUCACUAACAAUAAAUUGAAUCAAAUUACGUAUUAAUCUACCAACAACAAAUUAACCCCAAAUUUCAUAUUAAUUCAAGAAUCCAAAUUUCACAAACAACAAUUACUAUUAAAAUAAAAUAAAAUAACAACAAUAACAAUAACAAUAAUAAUAAUAAUAAUAAUAACAAUAACAAUAAUAAUAACAAUAAUAAUAAUAACAAUAACAAUGAUAAUAAUAAUAAUAAUAAUAAUGGAAUGAGUGAAAAUGGGAGGGGGGUCGCUAAAUGGCAGUGGCUCGUCAACGGCGACUGGCCGAUGGUUUGCCGGCGGCACUGACAGAUAGUAAUAAUAAUAAUAAUAAUAAUAAUAGUAACAAUAAUAAUAAUAAUAAAUCAAAUAGAAUAGUGUUUGGAUCGAGAGAAAUGGAGGGAAAAUGAUGGAAAUAAAGAAAUGGGGUUCGGCAGGAGAGAAAAAAAAAAUGGGAAACAAAAAAAUAGGGGGAGUGUCAUUGGAAAAAGAAGAGAAAGGGAAGGAAAAAAAACCAAAACAAAAAAAUGGGGAAAAAGGGGCUGCUAUUGCCGUGUGAGAGUUUAGGGAGAAAAAUAGGAACAGAAAAAUAAGGAAGAGAGGAAUAAGGGGUUGGCCGAUCUUUUGGGAAUGGGUAAAGAGAGAGAAGAGAGAAAAAAAUUGGAGCCAAAAAAAAAACCCUCAGGUCGUCUCUCCAUUUUUUUUCGGGUAGUCCAGAGUAGAAGAAUUGGGGGGGGGGGGGGGGGGGGGGGGGGGGGAAAAGGGGGGCCCCCUUGGGGAAUGGGGGGAAAAAAGGGGGGGGCCAAAGGGGGAAAAAAAAAAGGGGGGAGGGGGGGGGGGGGGGGGGGGGGAAAAAAAAAAAAAAAAAAAAAAUAGGGGGGGGGGGGGGAAAUGGGAAAAAAAUUAAAAAAAUAAAAAAAAAAAAAAAAAAAAAAGAUUUAAUGGGGGCCCCCGUGGGGGGGGGUUGGGGGGAAAAAAAAAAAAGGGGGGGGGGGGGGGGGGGUUAAGAGGGAAAGGGGGAAGGGGGGGGGAAAAAAAAAAAAUAUUUAAAAAAANNNNNNNNNNNNNNNNNNNNNNNNNNNNNNNNNNNNNNNNNNNNNNNNNNNNNNNNNNNNNNNNNNNNNNNNNNNNNNNNNNNNNNNNNNNNNNNNNNNNGGGGGGGGGGGGGGAAAUGGCGGUCGUCCUUGGGAAUUGGGAGGAAAAAGUGGAUGGCCAAAUGGGGAGAAAAAAAAUGGGGGAAGGAGGGGGGGCGGUCGUGUGGGAAGAAUAGGAAGAGAGAGAGUAUGAGUGGGUGGGUGGAAAAUGGAAAAGAAUAUAAAAAAAUAAAAAUAAAAAUAAGAAAAGAGAGAUGAGAUGGCGGCCGAUGGUGAGGGGUAUGGGAGGAGAGAGAAGAAGUGGGUGGGGUGGUUGGGGAAUAGGAAGAGAGAGGAGAAAGGAGAGAGAAAAGAAAAAAUAAAUAAAAAUAAAAUAGAAUAUAAUAAUAAUAAUAAUAAUAAUAAUAAUAAUAAAAUAAAAAUAAAAGUAAUAGUAAUAAAAUAAAAUAAAAUAAUAAAAGCUAUUAAAUGGUGAGUGGACCAAAAAAUACAUGUAAUUGGAAUUUAAAAUUUUAUUGACAAAAUUGGGCUCAAAAUUAAUGUAAAAAUAAAAUUGGGACAAAUUUUGGAGUCUACAAAUAUGCCCCUCUUUAAUAGAGUUUAUGAGUAAAGUGAGUGUAUACACAAACGAAAUGAAGUGAACUUUGCUGAAGAACAAGAAAGACCACCAAAUUUGUCCUAGUAUGACAUGGGCUCUCUUAAAUGAUAAGGCUAGGGAAAAAUGACUUUGAAUGCCAAAAAAAGGAAAGAUGGUGACUCUAGGUGCCUGAAUGAGUAUGCACGACAACUCUGAACGCCAAAACUAAAGAAAGAAGAUGGCACUGAAUGCCAAGUUGGACAAUGGCUCUGAAUGCCAAAAUGAAGACACGACUCUGAAUGCCUAAAACUGAUAAAAGGAAUGGCUCUAAACACCUAAAACUGGAAAAGAUGGCUUUGAACGCUUAUGAAAGAAAAUUGUGGCUCUGAAUGCCAAAGGGAGAUCUGAAGGCCUAUAAUUCUAAACACCCAUGAAAGAAAGUAGUGGCUCUGAACACUUAAAGGGUGAAAACGACUUUGGGUCAUGAGCUCAAGGCUCUGAAUGCUAAGCUGACUAAUGGCUCUAAAUGCCAAGUUAACUGCUCUAAAUGUUGAACUGAAGAUAUGAUGACUUUGAAUGCCAAGCUGACCAAUGGCUUUGAAUGCCCGACCAUGAACGACGGCUCUAAACGCCAAACUAUGGACAAAUGGUGGCUCUGAACGCCAAACUAAGGAUAUGAUGGCUCUGAAAGCCAAACUGUUAGGAAAUGGUGUAUGUCUGACUGUGAACAAUGGAUCUAAAUGCCAAACUGUGAACAAUGGCUCUAAAUACCAAACUGCGGAGAGAUGAUGGCUUUGAAAGCCUAAAUGUGAACGAUGGCUCUGAACGCCAAACUGUAGAGAGAUCAUGACGGCUCUGAAUGCCAAACUGUGAACAAUGGCUAUGAACACUAAACUAUGGAGAAAUGAUGGCUCUGAACUCCUGAAUGUGGACGAUGGCUCUAAACACCUAAACUGUGGAUAAAUCAUGACGGCUCUGAAUGCCAAAUUGUGAAUGAUGGCUCUGAACUCCAAGCUGUGAGCGACGAACUCUAAAUACCAAACUAUGGAGAGAUGAUGGCUCUGAACGCCUGAAUGUGAAUGAUGGCUCUGAACACCUGAAUGUGGACGAUGGCUCUGAACGUCAAAUUGUAAGCGACGGGCUCUAAAUACCAAACUAUGGAUAUGAUGGCUUUGAACGCCUGAAUGUGAACGAUGGCUCUGAACGCCGAAAUUGGAAAUGCGGCUCUGAACAUCAAACUGAAAACCGAUGAUGGCUCUGAACGCCAAAACUGAGAAUGCGACUCUGAACGUCAAAUUGGGAAGUGAUGGUGGCUCUGAACACCGAAACUGAGAAUGCGACUUUGAAAGUCAAACCGAGAAGUGAUGGCUCUGAACGUCGAAAUUGAGAAACGGUGAUGGCUCUGAACGUCGAAACUGAGAAGCAAUGAUGAUGACUCUGAACCCGGAACUGAAAAAUGCGACUCUGAACGUCAAACUGAAAAUCGAUGAUCGCUCUGAACGCCGAAACUAAGAAUGUGACUCUGAACGUCAAACUAAGAAGCGAUAAUGAUGACUCCGAACCCCGAAACUGAAAAAUGCGACUUUGAACAUCAAACUAAAGGUCUAGCUCUGAACGCCAAACUGAAAAUGGCUCUAGAUAUCGAGCUAAAGACAAAUAACGGCUUUAAACGUCAAACUGAAGAUACGACUCUGAACGCCAAGAUGACGAUGUGGCUCUAAAUGCCGAACUGAAUGUGUGGCUUUGAAUGCCAAACCGAAAAGAGAUGGUGGCUCUGCAUGCCAAACUGGAAAGGGAUGGUGACUUUGAAUGUCAAACUGGGCAGAAAUGGUGGCUCUGAACACUGAAACUGGAGAUGCGGCUCUGAAUGCCGAAACUGUGAAACGAUGGUGGCUUUGAACAUUGAAACUAAGAAUUAUGGUGACUCUGAACGCCGAAACUGGAGAUGCAGCUCUUGAACGCCGAAAUAAAGAUGUGGCUCUGAAUGUCGAACAAAAAAAACAAGGAUCUGGAUGUCGAAAUGAAAAUGUGGCUCUGAACACCAAACGAAAAAUGAACGACAACUUUAAAUGCCAAACGAAAAAAGUGGUAGCUCUGAUGUCGAAAUGAAAAUGCAGCUCUGAACGCCAAACUGAAGAUGCGGCUCUGAACGCCAAAAUAAAGAUGUGGCUCUGAACGCUGAACAAAAAAACAAAGAUCUAGAUGUCGAAAUGAAAAUGUGGCUCUGAACUCUAAACGAAAAAAGAACAACGACUCUAAACACCAAACUGAAGAUACGGCUCUUAACGCCAAAAUAAAGAAAAAUGGUGUCAUCAAAUGCCAAAAUGAAAAUACAACUCUGAACGUCAAACUGAGAAAAGGUGGUGGCUCUGAACGCCAAACUAAAAAUGAUAUAAUGACCCUGAAUGUCGAACUAGGAACAUGGCUCUAAACGUCAAACUACGAAGAAAUGGUAGCUCUGAACACCAAACUAAAAAUAAUAGCUAUGAAUGCCAAGAGAAACAAUGACUCUGAAUGCCCAACUAAACUGAUAACUAGGAAUGUCAGGCUGAGAAAGACGACUCUGAAUGCCAUGACUAAGAAGACACGAUGGCUCUGAAUGCCAAGCUGAAAAUGGACGACUCUGUACGUUGUAUUCGAGAAUGGAUGGCGGCUUUGAACGCCAAACAGUAAGGAAACGAUGAGAGGGGGGAGGGGGGGGGAUAUGCCCUAGUGUAGCAUGCCGCCACAACUCUCUAUCCUCUAAGAAGGUAUAAAAGAGACUCCAUGAGCCUCAAGAGAUACUCUGCUAGUGAGUCGGAAUGAUCAAAUCGACUAUAAGCAUAGUCUCACAACCCAUCCGUCUGGAUCAUGAGGCCUGACGAGAUGUCACAAUGAGUCAGACGCCUCUAUCUCGAAAUGCUCUGCUGGAGGAAUUCAUAGUCAUCUCAAAUGGGUAAUCCACUAGGGAGUCUCAAGAGAAUAAUAUGCGAAGGUAACUACCACGAUCUCAUCAAAACAAUCUACUGCGAGGCCAUGGAUAACGGAACAAUCACAACUUGAAUGUCAUGCUCCACCGAAAGCUCAUCUCGAUAAAAAUCACAGGAAUAGUGACCAGUAAAGCAAAUACAGUAUCUCUCCGUCAAGUGAUGAAAACUGUAACAGAUCUGUGAAAGAAUGAUCAUCUCCAUAGCUAAAGGAAGGAAUAUGCCCCAGCAUGGCAUCAGAUGUACCCGAUCUAUCUUGAUAACUUAAGAAUAACUCCAUGGGGAUGCAUAAAAUAUCUGACAUGUACUCCACUAAAAUGGUGCUAUGGGAACCUAUGCGCCUGGAGUAACUCCACCCAAGAAUCACAACAAUAUCGAAAAAUAUGAGCCUGACUGAAAGACUCAAUAAAGGCUCCACUAGAGAAUCAGGACAAAAUGAAAUCAAAUCAUCAACCUGACGUGUAUCUCAUAACUAGGGAUGAUCAUGCAAAUCCAUGGAGAUCUACAAAUCUUGACUUAAAUGGCGAAUAUGCCCCAGUAUAGCAUUGAAUGUGUGACAGGUCAGAAAAAUCAAAUGACAUCAAAUCAUCAAUCAUCAACUAUGCAAUCCUGGUCACCCGAAUCCAUAACUGAAUCAUACCCACAGAUCCAAGAUGUACCUCUCGAAUGAAGAAGCAUGAUGGCAUCUAAGUGCUGAGAAGUGCGAGCCUAACUGGAUGGCUCCCGGGAUGCUCAACUAAAGAAACAUCAUAAAAAUAACGAACAGGUCAUCGUCUCGAUGAGCAUCCCAUAAGUGGGGAUGAUAACAUAGCUCUGUGAAGAUCUAUAACUCUCAUCCAAAACAGAAAUAUGCCCCAGUAUGACACCAGAUGUACGAUAGGUCAGAAAUCGGGUGACAUGAAAUCAUCCAUCAUCAAAUGCGCAAUCUCCAUAAUCCAAAUCAAACCCAAACAUCUAUGAAAUGUCUCCCGGAAUAAUAAGCACGACGACAACCAAAUGCCUAAAAAUGUAGGCUUGGUUGAAUAGAUCCAGAGAGGCUCCACUGAAGGAUCAUGAUAAAAUAAUGAACACGUCAUCGCCUCAGCGUACAUCUUGUAAGUAGGGAUAAGCAUGCAACUCCAUGAAGAUCUGUAAAUCUUGUCCGGGACGGAAAUAUGCCCCAGUAUGGCGUCGAAUGUACGGUAGGUCAGAAACCAAGUGACAUGGAAUCAUCUAUCAUCGAACAUGUGAUCUCCGUGAUGCAAAUCAAAUCCAAACAACUAGGGAACGUCUCCCAAGAUAAGAAACAUGACGGCAACCAAAUGCUGAGAAAUGUGGGCCUGGUUGGAUGGCUCCACAUAGGCUCCACUGAGGGAUCAUAAUAAAAUAACGAACGAGUCACUCAUCUCAGCGUACAUGUUGCAAGUGGGAACAAGCAUGCAACUCCAUGAAGAUCUAUAGAUCUCGCCCGAAAAGGAAUAUGCCCCAGUAUGACAUCGAAUAUGUGAUAGAUCAGAAAAAUCAGGUGACAUCAAAUCAUCCAUCAUCAAGCGCAUGAUCCCGGUAAUCCAAACACAGCUGAAUUAAAUCUAAACAUCAACGAGGCGACUCCCAGAAGAAGAAGCAUGACGAUAUCUAAAUAUUAACCAGAUCUCAAACACCUGUCCAAGUAGAGGCUGUCGAAGACGACAUCUGGUCCCAUGGCCUCAGGAUGGUCUUAAGACACGAGACGUAACGUAGGCCAAGGUGAUAGGGUGAUAGAAAUGAAAGAAAAUUAGGCUCAAAUACCCAAUGAUCAAAAACCCAUGCCCUCAUAUAUGAAAUGCAACAUGUAUAGUGAAUCCUGUGAGCCAUGGACCUAAGGAUGCCUAACGUGAAUAUGAUGUCGAUAAGGAGACAAAAAAAAAAAGCAAAAUGAACUGAUAAUGAUAUGUGUAAUGAUGAUGCGAAGAGAGUAUCAAACCCAAGAUGGGUUGUUGUAAGAAAAGAAUAAGACGUGAAGUGAAAAUGAUGAAUCAGAAACGAAAACGAGAAUGAUGAUGAAAUAAAUAACACAAAGAGGAGUAGUGAUCAACUCAAAUCAGACAUGGAGUGAAGUCACAUCAACAAUGAAUGUAAUGAUGGAAGGGACAAUGACCCAGAUCUUCUAAGAGAAGGUCACUCAUCUCGCUCUCAAAAUAUACAAUAAAAAUGAAUACAAAGAAUGGAGGGUCUCGGAAAGCUCACAUACGAACUCUCAUCAACAAACAUACUCAAUCAAGUGACCCUCGAACAUCAAUAUACACACUCAAUGAUAGAAAAUAAUACACACGUGUUUUUUUUUUUUUUUCAAAUUUUUUUUAACAUAUAUACAAAUGUACACACCCUGAACAUGAACAAAAUAAGCCUCAAAGAUUAUAUCAAUAAUGGAUGACACGCUCUCGAGCGCUAAAGUAACAAAAACUCUCUCUGACAAGAUGACCUUCUCAAACUAAGAAUCUCUGAACCAGUGUCCGUGGGAUAGAUAGUGGUAAUGAUGUGACUACCUUCCAUGUAAUGAACUGAGGAGGAUCACCACUCAAGGUGGAAAGAAUAUGAAGCAAAACAAGCAAUAGAUAGAAUAAAGAAGAAGAGAUGAAGAACAUAACCAAUGAGAUACGAUGGAAUGCAAUGAUGCAGUGAUGAAGAAAGAUAAUGAGAAGAAUGCGUCCCUAGGUCCAAAGCUCACGGAACUCCCAAACAAUGAAUGCAUACACUAAAGGGCCCUUAUCUCGGUGUGAAAAAUGUGAGCAAGGCGAUAAAAACGAAAGGUUGUAAUAUGCAUGCGAGGUUCAAUGGGCUAGCAACAGACGAUAUAUCAAAAGGGAAUAACAAGGUGUAUGGCUAACCGAAAUGAUGGCCACCCAUCCUACGACCAUGGUCUCAAACAUAGUACCUCUUUAGCUGAUCCACAUUGGUCGGCUCAGAGAAUUGGUUUCCAUCUAAUUGCAUCAACCAUGCAGCGCCCUCUAGGGUCAACUCCCUGAUGAAAUAAGGUCCGCUCUAGCUGGGUCUGAACUUCCAUCUAGGAUCUCUAAUCAAUCCUCUGAUGACCCUCAAGACUAAGUCACCUCUUUAUAAUGGUCAAUCAACAAUCUCUACUAUCUUCCUUCACCAGUGGGAGAUGAAGGAAGAAAUGGACUCAUCUAAUCUCUGUCUGAAACCCUUAAGCUCUCUCCUCGACACAUCUACGACAGUACUAAAUGAAAACUGUCACAAAAACUCCUAAGCUAGGUUGUCCCAUGUCCUGCGUCGCGAGGACUCCAAAAAUGUGAACUAAUGUUGGGCUGCACCACUCAGAGAUAAAAGAAACAUGGUGAUCAUCUGUGACUCGUCUAGCCUAUGGGCCCUCAUCACAGUACUAUAGAGUCAAAGAUGAAUACAUGGACAACCAACACCCAUGUACCUCUCAAUGUCAAGCAUCCUGAACUUGGCUGGUAGACUGGCCCCUGGUAUACUAUCAAGAUCAUCGCAAGCUGAUGAACUGUCAGAUACCCUCAACUGCCUGAUACACUACUCGAUACUAUCCAUACAUGCAUGAGUAUCCUCAAGGACUGUCUACUCUGCUGACUGUCUAUCUCCUGCCUGAGAUUGGCUAAGGCCUCCUAAAUAAAAGCCAUGGCAGCCGUGAACUGAUCAACUGUGACAACUCGCUGAUCCAUGUCUGAUCUCUCGGAAAAAUGAACUAAUCUUCCCUUUACUCUAACCUAAUAUGACAAAUCCACACUGAGAAUGAAAAAUCAAUCCUGAAGAGCAUGAAACACAAGAUACCUGAAUAGAAUCCAUGGCGUCUGUGAACUAGUCAAAUGUGACAGUCUGCUGAUUUAUGUCUGAUCUCUGGGAAAAUUGAACUAAGCUCCUUUAUACUCUAACCCAAGAUGGUAAAUCCACAAUGAGAAUGAAGAACCAAUCCUGAAGAGCAUGAAGCACGAGAUAUGGUAGGCACAGGGAAAACAUGGAAGAAAUGCUAGUCAGAAUUGGAAUGAGCAAGACAUAAAAAAUAGGGAAUACUGAUCUUGGUGCACUCUCACUAGAGACUAAAAGAGGGAAUACUGAAUCCCAACUAUGAUCAAAGAGGCUCUGAAGGCCCUCAGAUGCACCCACGUAUAGAGAGGGAGUCCUAAUCGAAGGAUCUACGGCUCAACCUACGAGGUCAAGGUGACUCUAAAUGGAUAUGGGUGGACUUUAAAAUAUCCCUAGCAGAAGCAAUCAUACCCUCCGGCGGUACGCAACCCUCUGCACGCCUCCGAAGAGACGGGGCGCUUCCAUGUAAUGUGGUCAUCACCUCCACACAUGCACUACCUCGACAUCCUAGGGGGUUUCCUAUGGUGAAACCUCUCAAAACUCUCAACUCUUAUGGUCAGCUAGAGUGCGCAGUGACGGUGUGGGUGUAUCCAAAAAUCCUAUGAAGUCAAAGUAGAAAAAAAGAAACACACUAAUCACACAAAUAUCCAUGAAACCUAGCUUUGGGCUAUACAGGUCUUCAAAGAUCGGACUCCUAUCAACAUCAACGUGUCGACCUCCUCCAAAAUGCUCCCAAACAUCGAUAUAGCCCGUCGCUAAACCCUACUCCUAACCGCUAGCUCAGUCGAAGAGCAAACAAAGUAACAAGUCUCAUAUCAAAUACGAGAUCAAGUGAAACAAGGUUGACCGAGUAUAGGGAGUUGGAGGUAAGGGGAUAGAUGUGUGUCCCACACAGACAAGCAAUACAUGCAUCACAUAAAAUAAUAGCAAUCAUGCACCAAACACUCAUGUAAAUAACAGGUAUAUAACUCAUAUCUACACACAAGCUAGGCAAGAAUAUGAUAAGCAAGAUAGGAAUAUAACAAGAAUAGACAAUAUGUCGAGAUAAACAAGAUAAUAUACAACAAAUAAAAUCAAUCAUGCCAAGAUGAAUGAGAUAUACAAAAAUGAGAAUAUACAUGUCCAGGAAAGCAAGAUAAUCAUACAACAAGAAGAGUCACUAUGCUAAAGUAGGUAAGAGAAUCAAUCGAUGUAAUCAAUAUGUGAACAUCUCCAAUGAACAAUAAUAACUAAACAAGCCUCAUGGAUAAACAUAUCAAAGCUCUCAACAUGUAAUCAACACCCAAUCAUACAAAAACACAUAAAGAGGGGUAUCCACUGAUCAACCAAUCAAACGCCACAUUUCUCUCAACUCGAGUUCAAGUUUGACCCUCUAAAAAAAAAAUUCCCCAGUGGAGUCGCCAUUUUGUGGACCCCGUAUUUUGCUGGAUACGUUCCCACUCAAUGGCAAAAACUCACUUUUUUUAUUUUGUUUGGUGAAAAUUUGAUCUUUAGAAAAAGACUUGGAGUCGCCACUUAUUUUUGUUUUAUUUUUAAAGGGAAAAACAAAAUAAGAAAGAAAAACCCUAAGUAUGACUCCUGAAGGAAAAAACGGGUCUGUGAAAAACCGAGUCUGGGUCGGGGGGUCAGGUUAGUCAUUGGGAAUGUAUGGUGGUGAGUCGUAGCACCCCUCUAAGCCCGUAUACGUACGACCUUUACUAAACGAAUUGAGGAAAUUGUGGCAAUUAAUUAAUUAAUUAUAGAUACAAAAAAAAAAAAAUCAAUAUACAAGUCAUGGUGAAAAUUAAUAUGCACAAAAACAAUGAUGAAAUCUAAUUACAAAAAUACACAAAAUAAAUAAUAAGAGAAUUAUGCAAAAUGAUUUAUUGAAUUAAAUAAAUAAAAUAUAUUAAAAAAAGGUUUUAAAGAAAUUUCAAAGGAUUUUAUUAAAAAUGAUUUUGAAUUAAUGAUUUCCAUUUAUUUACUUAUAAAGAAGAAUCAAUUUAUUUUCUCAAUUUCAGUUGUAUUCAAUUUUCAAAAAAGCUAUUUACACUUAUUGUAUCAAAAGAAUUUAUUACAAAAUUUCAAUUUGGGCACAAAAAUUAUUUUUACUUGCUUUUACUAGAAAAUAUUGAAUUUUUACAAUUUUAUUUACAAAAGUAUUUAGAUUCAUUUUCAUUUAAAAGAGUGAUUUUUAUAAAUUAUUUAAAAUGACAUAACUUUAUUUGCAAAAGAAAUUUUAAUUAAAAAGAAAAACAAAUAUUUAAAUUCUCUAUUUUUGAAAAACACUUUUAAUCCCAUUUUAAUUAAGGAAAAAGAAUUCAUUUGAAAAAAAUAUUUUUAGACAAUUUUAUUAAAAAUUAAUUUAUGGAACAACUUUAUUUACAAAACAAUUUUUGGACAAUUUUUAUUAAACAAAGAAAUUUUUGAACAAUGUCAUUAAAAACAAUUUUUGGAAUUCUAUUAAAAACAUUUUUUUUGGAUUUUUCUAAAUGCAUUUUUCUGAAUUUUUAUAAAUAAUAAAAAAAACUUUCUUUUAUUAAAAAGAAUAUUUUAACAUUAGUAUUUUAUUAGAACAUAUUUACUGAAUUCUUCCUCUCAUUUAAAUAAAAUUUCUAAUUUAUUCGAUGUUUAAUUCUGUACACACUCAAUAAAUAUAUACGAACAAAUAUUUACAAGAACUAAUUAAAAUAGAACCAAAUAAAAGUGGGAAAUAAAAUAUGUACCCAAAUAAACUUACAAUAAGUUUCACGUAUCAUCAAUUCGUACUCAGCCAAUAAGAUUGCAGAAUGAGUCCAUGCAAAAACAAAAUAGCACAAAUGUAAAUAUCCAGAGAUAUAUAAAAUCCCAAACAAAUAUUCAAACCCAAAUUCCAAUUUCAAAUUAGUCUCAUAAAUUUCGUCAAUUAAAAUGAGCUCAAAUUGGUCUUAACUCAGAAUAUCCAAAUUAAUAACCAAAAAUACAAACACAAUCAACCAAACCUAAAAUUGGAUAAAUUAAAAUAAAUUAUACUAAACCUAAAUUUAAUAUUUCAUAAUCUAAGCCUAGUUUAAUAUACAUCACAAUUGUCUCAUGUCUUAAUUAAACAAUUCAAAUUGGCCAAGCCCAUAUCAAAUAUUCAAAUAAUCCAACAAAUCCUACCCACAUUAUGGGCCCCAAAAUUCAUAUCAAUUAACAAGCUCACAUAAAAAAAAAUACAUGGUCAAGAGAAAUAAUAUUUCAAACCCGAUCCAAUAAGCCCAAACAAAUAACAACUUAACAAUAGACCCAAGUCCAAAUAAACAAUAUGCACUUAAUAUAAUCCAAAUAUUCCUAAAUUAAUCACCAAAUACAAUAUACCCACAAACCCAAAUUAAAAAAUUUCAAAUUAAUUCACUAACAAUAAAUUAAAUCAAAUUACGUAUUAAUCUACCAACAACAAAUUAACCUCAAAUUUCAUAUUAAUUCAAGAAUCCAAAUUUCACAAACAAUAAUUACUAUUAAAAUAAAAUAAAAUAACAACAAUAACAAUAACAAUAAUAAUAAUAACAAUAACAAUAAUAAUAAUAACAAUAACAAUGAUAAUAAUAAUAAUAAUAAUAAUAAUAAUAAUAAUAAUAAUAAUAAUAAUAAUAAUAAUGGAAUGAGUGAAAAUGAGAGGGGUCGCCGACCGGCAGUGGCUCACCGGCGACGACUGGCCGAUGGUUUGUCGGUGGCACUAACAGAUAGUAAUAAUAAUAAUAAUAAUAAUAAUAAUAAUAAUAGUCACAAUAAUAAUAAUAAUAAAUCAAUAGAAUAGUGUUUGGAUCGAGAGAAAGCGAGGGAAAAUGAUGGAAAUAAAGAAAUGGGGGCUGACAAGAGAGAAAAGAAAAAGGAAAACAAAAAAACAGGGGAAAUGUCAUGGGAAGAAGAAGAGAAAGGGAGGGAAAAAAAACCAAAACAAAAAAAUGGGGAAAAGGGGCUGCUACUGCCGUGUGAGAGUUUAGGGAGAAAAAUAGGAAUAGAAAAAUAAGGAAGAGGGGAAUAAGGGGCGGCCGAUCUUUUGGAAAUGGGUAAAGGGAGAGAGGAGAGAAAAAAAUUGGAGCAAAAAAAAAAAAUCCCUCGGGCCGUCUCUUCAUUUUUUUCGGGUAGUCCAGAGUAGAAGAAUGGGGGGAAGAAGAAGAAGCGGGAAAAAACAAAAAAAAAUGGAGGGGAAAAAUGGCGGUCGUUCUUGGGAAUUGGGGGGAAAAAGUGGAGGGCAAAAUGGGGAGAAAAAAAAUGGGGGCGGCGGCGACGGCGGCGGCCGUGUGGGAAGAAUAGGAAGAGAGAGAGUAUGAGUGGGUGGGUGGAAAAUGGAAAAGAAGAUAAAAAAAAAAUAAAAUUAAAAAUAAGAAAAGAGAGAUGAGAUGGCGGCUGAUGGUGAGGGGAAUGGGAGGAGAGAGAAUAAGUGGGUGGGGUGGUUGGGGGAGUAGGAAGAGAGAGGAGAGAGAAAAGAAAAAAUAAAAAUAAAUAAAAAUAAAAUAGAAUAUAAUAAUAAUAAUAAUAAUAAUUAUAAUAGUAAUAAUGAUAAUAAAAUAAAAGUAAUAGUAUUAAAAUAAAAUAAAAUAAUAUACAAAAUAAUAAAAGCUAUUAAAUGGUGAGUGGGUCAAAAAAUACAUAUAAUUGGAAUUUAAAAUUUAUUAAUAAAAUUAGGUUUAAAAUUAAUAUAAAAAUAAAAUUGAGACAAAUUUUGGGAUGUACAAAAAUGUUUGGAUAUUAGAAGGUCUAAAGUUUAGGCUUUUAUUAGUAAUAUUUCUAUGAAAAAACAAAAAAUUUAUCUUGCUUUUUUUAAAACAUUUUUUUCAAAAUUUUGAAAAUUUUGAGAAAGUAAAAAAUUUUUAAUCCUUAAAUGUUAAGUAUUUUAAAAAGUGUUUUCAAGUAAAAAAAAUAUAUGUACUUACUUUUGUAUAAGAAUUUUUAUAUUUUAUUCUAUUUUAUAAACAAAAAUAAAAAAUGUAUCCAAACAUAUACUAACUAAUUCUCUUUAAAAAUGUUUCUAAUGGAAAGGUACUAACAAAUGACUUUCAAAUAAAAAUGGUUUAAACAAAAUCACUCUCAAACAAGUCUAAGUUAUAAUAAAUAUUUUUCACCAAAAUGAUUUUUAUUUAAAGAAGAAGCCUCAAAAUGAUUUUAAUUUAAACUCAUUUCAUUUGUAAUCUUGUAAUCCCAUGCCCUAAAUGUUCCCAUUCAUCAAUUCCAUUGGUAAAAUUUUAUUAGAAUUAAUAAUUAUUAAAAAAAUUAAAUUCAAAACCUUUUUUAAAAAUCCCACUGUUUAUAUUGUAAUUUGGAUAGUCAUUUCUAAUAAAAAAGAUAUUAUCAAUAUUUUAUUUUUAUUUAUUUUCAUUUUGGUGAAAUUAUAGAAUUACGUGAAUUUUUCUUCUUAAAAUAAAAAAAAUAUUAUAAAGAAAAUGGGGGAAAGCUAAUACGCUAGAUGAAAAUAUAUGGAUUAAUAUGUGCAAUCAAUUUGCAUAAAAUUAAAAUUCUGAUUAUUUUCAUUUUUAUUGUUGUUAUUUAAUCAAAAUAACAAUAAGCGGAAUGAAAAAAAGAAACGUGAGAAUUAAAAAUUCUUCGUGGAAAAUGCUAGCUAGUUGUACUAAUAUUUCAUAGUGGGAGGCUAUAUUUGUUCGCCAUUUUUUCCAAAGAACUUUAUUAAAGGUGAUGGUGAUGGUGAUUAUUUUCCACAUAUAUCAUCAUGUGUCUUGUGCAUGAUUAAAUCUUUAUUCUUGUACUGGAAUAUCAUAUUGAUCUAAGAAAUUUAUAAUUAUAAAAAGAAUUAAAUUUUGUGGCUUAAAAAUGAGGAUUACCUAUUUACCCCUCUAGAUAGUUUCAAGAAUUAAGAUAAAAACUUUUAAAAAUCAUAUCAAGUUUCAUGGUAAAAUAUCAUCAACCCUCCAAAAUGUUAAAAGACUUAAAAUUUUAUCAAAAUAAAAAUUAUUUUUUAAUAAUAUAAAAUAGAAUAAUCCUUUUGAUAGAAAGUGGCACUCUAAAGAUUUUCAUUGAAAAUAUCAUCCAUUAGGCAUUGUGCCCCAAUUUUUUCUAUGGAAGAUGCCAACUGGUUAUGCUAAAAUUUCCAAGGUGGGAGGCCAUAUUGUCUGCCAUUUUAUCCCCAUUUUUUCUUAUCAGAGCGCCACUUUAAUAGAGGUCAUAGUGAAGAUGAUGGUGGGUACACUAAAGUCCACUUUAUUAAAGGUGAUUGUAAACAUGAUAAUGACUUUUAAAUGAUUUAAGCUCUUCGAUAAGGAAAAACUAUACAUCAUAUAUCAUCACGUCUUAUGUAUAAUUUGAUCUUUAUUCUUAUGCUUGGAUAAUAUACUUUGAUUAAAGAAAUUUAUAGUUAUGAAAAAAAUUAAAUUUUGUGACUUAAAAAUAUAAAUUACUUAUUUACUCCCUCCAAAUGGUUUAAAGAAUUAAUAAAAACUUUUAAAAACUAUACAGAAUUUCAUGGUAAAAUAUCAACUCUCAAGAAUGUCAAAAGACUUAAAAUUUUAUCAAAAUAAAAACUAAUUUUCAUUAAUACAAAAGAGAAUAAACUUUUUUCUUGGAUAGAAAGUGAUACUUAGAAGAUUUUCAAUUAAAAAUAUUAUACCAUAGGCGUUGAUAGAAUGUUAGCUAACAUGUUUAUCAAGGAUUUAAUUUGUGAAAAAUGAAUAAAAAUCAAUUAACUAAUUGAUAGGACAGUUGAAAGUGCAUUUGAUAAUGAUUUUAAAAAAUGUUUUUAGUCUUAAAAGUAUUUUUAAAAAAAAUUAAAUAUGAUAAAAUUUAGACAAUACUUUUAAAAAUAUGAAAAAUCUCUUGUAAUUGUGAAAAAUCUUUUACAAUAUUUUUCAAAGAAAUACUUGAUAGAAGAUUAUCUUAAAAACUAUUUUGAAUACAAUAUUUUCGAUAAAAAUGCUUCUACUAAAAAUAGUACCAAAUACACUUCUAAUAAUUACAUUUCCCACAAAUUUUCUAGAAACCAAACAUAUUAAUGGGAAUAAGGGAACAUGAAGCACCCUCUCCAACGAGAAGUUGAAGCCAAUACCUAUACCUUCUAAACCAACUCCUCUCUUCUGCUUGAUUCAUCGUCUCAAAGCUCUCCACACUCAUCAUUUCCCUCAAAACUAGUUAUUAAUCCUCUUUGACAAAACCAUGGGCAACAUUUUCUCCAUUUCAAUCUCCGUUGACCACCUUAUCUCUAGUUGCUGGAAUCGCACUACUGAACAUGCAAAUUACCUGUGCAAACUCCCAGAAAAUCUGGUAGCUCUGGGAACUGCUUGUGAAAGAUUGAGGGAGUUCAGGAACGAUGUGAUGAGGAGGGUGGAUAUCGCUGAGAGGGAACAAAUGCAGCGGCUCGACCAAGUACAAGGGUGGCUUUCAAGGGUUGAAACUCUGGAAACUCAAGUCACUCAACUGAUUGGAGAUGGCACCGAGGAGGUUGAGAAGAAAUGUAUGGGUGGUUGCUGUCCUAGGAAUUGCAGGACCAGAUACAAGUUGGGGAAGAGAGUAGCUAGAAAGUUGAAAGAAGUGGACAUUCUAAUGAGCCAAAGACCUUCGGAUGCGGUGGCUGAGAGGUUACCUUCACCUCGCCUAGGUGAAAGGCCUAAUCAAGCAACUGUCGGCAUGAAUUUCAGAAUUGGUAAGGUUUGGAGCAGCCUUCAUCAAGAACAAGUGGGAAUUAUCGGCCUAUAUGGAUUAGGAGGAGUUGGGAAAACCACCCUCUUAACCCAAAUCAAUAAUGCUUUUACCAAAAGAACAGAUGAUUUUGAUUUUGUGAUCUGGUCAACAGUUUCCAAAAAUGUAAACCUUGAAAACAUUCAGGACGACAUCUGGAAGACGAUAGGGUUUUGUGAUGAUAAAUGGAAAAGCAAAAGUCGAGAUGAGAAAGCUAAGAGCAUCUGGAGAGUCCUGAGCGAAAAGAGGUUCGUGCUGUUGCUAGAUGAUUUAUGGGAGUGGUUGGAUUUAUCAGACGUCGGAGUCCCAUUCCAAAAUAAGAAAAAUAAGAUAGUAUUCACCACUCGAUCAGAAGAGGUGUGCGCUCAAAUGGAAGCGGAUAAGAAGAUCAAAGUGGAAUGCCUAACAUGGACAGAAUCCUGGGAAUUGUUUCGAAUGAAGCUUGGAGAAGACACUCUCGAUUUCCAUCCUGAGAUACCGGAGCUCGCUCAAGCCGUCGCACAAGAGUGUUGUGGUUUGCCACUUGUGCUAACUACCAUCGGCAGGGCCAUGGCUUGUAAGAAGACGCCGCAGGAAUGGAAAUAUGCAUUUAAAGUGUUACAAAGCUCUGCCUCAAAAUUUCCAGGUAUGAGUGACAGAGUGUUCCCUCUUUUAAAAUACAGUUAUGAUUGCUUACCCACCGAAGUUGUCAGAUCUUGCUUCUUGUAUUGUUCUCUAUUUCCAGAAGAUUAUCAGAUACCAAAAAUAGCUAUGAUAAAGCGUUGGUUUUGUGAAGGCCUUUUAGACGAAUUUGAUGACAUGAAGGGAGCAGAAAACCAGGGUUACAACAUUAUUGGCACUCUGAUUCAUGCAUGUCUAUUAGAAGAAGGUGAUGUUGAUUAUGUAGUAAAACUGCAUGAUGUAAUCCGUGAUAUGGCAUUGUGGAUAGCUUGUGAAACAGGGAAGGAGCAGGACAAGUUCUUGGUGCAGGCCUCCAGUGGGUUAACUGAAGCUCCUGAAGUUGCUAGAUGGAUGGGACCAAAAAGGAUUUCACUUAUCGGUAACCAAAUUGAGAAACUAACAGGGUCUCCUAAUUGCCCCAAUCUCUCAACUUUGUUUCUUCAGGAUAAUAGUUUGAAGAUGAUCACUGAUAGUUUCUUCCAGUUUAUGCCAAAUCUAAGAGUUUUAGACUUGUCAAGGAAUGCUAUGACUGAAUUACCACAGGGAAUCUCUAAUUUGGUUUCAUUACAGUAUCUCAACCUAUCACAAACUAACAUUAAAGAGUUGCCAAUUGAGUUGAAGAACCUGGGUAAAUUGAAAUUUUUGUUGUUGCAUCGCAUGAGACUUUCUUCAAUUCCAGAGCAGUUGAUAUCAAGUCUUUCAAUGUUGCAAGUGAUUGAUAUGUUCAACUGUGGAAUUUGUGAUGGUGAUGAAGCCUUGGUUGAGGAAUUGGAGUCCUUAAAGUACUUGCAUGAUUUAGGUGUCACUAUAACAAGUGCCUCUGCUUUCAAAAGGCUUCUAAGCUCUGACAAGCUAAAAAGUUGCAUUUCCGGUGUAUGCCUCGAGAAUUUCAAUGGUUCAAGCUCUCUCAAUUUAACAUCUCUCUGCAAUGUAAAGCGUCUCCGUAACCUCUUUAUCUCAAACUGUGGCUCGUCGGAAGAUUUGGAGAUCGAUUGGGCUUGGGAAGGAAAGGAAACAACAGAAUCUAAUUACCUUAACUCAAAGGUCAGUUCCCACAGCAGUUUCCACAACCUUUCGUGGCUAAGAGUCAAAAGGUGUUCGAGGUUGAAGGAUCUAACAUGGCUUGUUUUUGCUCCAAACCUUAAAGUUCUUUUAAUAACUAGUUGUGAUCAAAUGCAAGAAAUAAUAGGUACCGGUAAAUGUGGUGAAUCUACAGAGAAUGGCGAAAACCUGAGUCCAUUUGUCAAACUCCAAGUACUUACGUUAGAAGAUCUACCACAAUUGAAGAGCAUAUUUUGGAAAGCCCUGCCAUUUAUCUACUUAAAUACAAUCUAUGUAGAUAGUUGUCCACUUCUAAAGAAGCUGCCACUCGACGCCAACAGUGCCAAGGAACAUCGGAUUGUCAUUUCCGGACAAACCGAGUGGUUUAAUGAACUAGACUGGGAGAAUGAGGCAACUCACAACGCUUUUCUUCCAUGUUUCGUACCUAUUGAAGAAUAAGGGCCUGCAGCAAUCUCAGAGAGGCUACAAUGCGAUUCUCGGUGAGACCCUUUUCACAAUUAACUAUCAUUUGAUCCUGAAUAGGUAUUGGUCCAAAUAAAGCAUUCAAUUAUAGCAUCUUUUCAUGGUCGUAUACCUCCCACGUACUGCUGAUACACUUAAAAAAAUGCUAUUCCAUUUCAAACAUGUAAGGCAAUUGAUUGCGGGUUUACAAGGAGUCAUCUUGUUAUUGGAAUUCAAAAUAUACAACUUUUAUGGUUAUGUUUUCUUCUUAAAAAGUAUUAAUAAAAGAAAAUAAAUAUUAAUGAAAAUGAUUUUUUCAUAUUAUUAUAUUAUCAAAAAUAUAAAAGAAAAUAAAAUUAGUUUGAAAUUUACAUAUUUUUUAAAUUGUUUAAUUUUUAUAUUGAAGAGUUAAAAUAAAUAAAACAAGUUAGAAAUAGCAUAUAAAAGUAAUCUAUUAAUUUUAAAUUUAUUUUUUAAUUUUUUUCACUUUUUUUUCCUUGUAUCUUUCCUUUCUAUUUUCUUUUCAUUACAAUUUUUCUCAAAUUUUCCAAGAACCAAACAUAACCUACAUAUAAUGAUCAAAUAUAAUCUUACAAACCAACCCAUAUAAAAAUUUAAGUCCAUUCUUGUGGCUUUUCUAAUUUGGUUUAAUAAGUCAAUAGUAUAUAUUCUUAUACAAUCUUAUUUUGUUUAGUUGCAGAAUAUAACCUCAUAUGCCAUAAAUGCUUCCGCAAUCUUCAGUUAAUGAGAAUCCAUUGUUUUCCAAGGUGAAGGAUAUGGAUGGCUUAAUUUUCAUGCCAACUUUUCAGUAUGUUGAUGACAUUGUAGGCUACCGAAAUGGAACAUAUAAUUGCUUAUAUAUGUGAGGUAAACAAUUGGUUUAUGUAUGUUGUUUCAUAGUGUUUGUGUGCAUAUGUUGUUUCUCUUUGAAUUGCAAUAUUACAUUUUUUGUAUUCUAAGGAUUGUGAGAUGCAUUUUAUGAUUUGUGUAAAAAUUUUGAGUUGGAUGGCUUUCCUUAAUUGCUUUACUUCAAUUGAAGAGCAUGUACAUAAUAUCUUUGAUUGGAAACAAUCUAAUGUAUAAUUUAAAAAAAUAAUCAUAUUUUCAAAUAGAAAAGAUAGAUGAGUUAGGGUACUCCUAGAUCAACUAGGAAUUGUAUCUUUGUUUAUGGAGAAGCAAGCAUUCUUGAGAAAAAAAAUCAAGUCCCUCUUUGUACAAAAAUUUUAGGGGAGAACUUGCCCAAGUCAUGGGUAGACCAUAAUUGGGGCACCUUAGCUAAGGGUCCCAUUUGGUUCCCUAUCUGUGUUUAUCAAAUGUGCCUUUUCAUAAUUGUAAUGGGAAUGGAGUGUGGGAUUUAUAUAACAUUAAAGCAUGUAUUCCUUAAUUUUGCAAUAUGUUAAAGAGGAUGAAACAUUUUUUAUUUGUUGCAAUUCAAGAGCAUGUACUAAAAUGCUCUCUCCAUGUGUUCAAAAUAGAAGAACUCAUUUAUCUUAUGCCCUAUAAAACUUUUUUCAAAAUUUUGAGAAAGUGAAAAAUUUUCACUUCUUGAAAUUUUUAAAUUUUUUUUAUAAAGUGUUUUCAAGCAUAUAAGGUAUUUACUUGUUUUUGUAUAAUAAUUCUUGUAUUUUAUAUAAGACUUCCUAUUUUAAAAAUAAAAAAUAGAAUAUGUAUCCAACCAAGUGAUUCUCUUAACAAAAGUACUAUAAAUAAAAAUACUUUAACGAGAGUCACUCCCAAACAUGUUCUAAGUUAUAUUUUCUAAUGGACUAGCUUUUCUAUCAAAAAAGUUAUUGAGUAGACAAUAAUUUAUAAAAUGCAAAACAUUUUUACUCUAUGGUAAUUUUUAUUUAUCUUUUUCUGUUUAAUAUCCACCUCUCAAUAUCUUGGUAUUUUAAACGAAGGAUAUAAUUUUAUUAGUUGUGCACAUGACAUUAUCUUAUAUAUCCAUGUAAGGUUUUUUCUAAAAUAAGUAAUUAAAAAUUUCAUUAUUAAAAAAAAUAGAAUCAAUAAUAUCUUAUUUUUAUAUAAUACCAAAAUUAACAAAUUUCUUACCAUUUAUGGUUCAUAUAACAAGAAAUAAAUAAGUAAAUGUGUGAAACUAAUAAAAAUAAUUGUUAAUUUAUGGUAAUUAUUUGGAAUAUAUUAAUAUUUAACCGAUGGAGCAUUAGCUUAGCUUAGUUAGAUCAUUUUACCCAACAUAAGUUUUUUAUUUAUUAUUUUAACAUACUAUCAAAUCACUUUUUUUUUUGUUUAUAUUCAAAUAGUAAGUUAUUCUAUUUUAAACUAUUUCUAAUGUAACCACUAUUUAAAAACACUUUUAAAAAUCUCAAAAAAUAACUUGAGGUGAUUUGUAAACAAUCACUUGAUAUGAUUUUCUUAAAAAUCAUUUUUUAAUAAAAUAAUAUGUUACAAAAAAAAAAAUACUAUCAAAACAUUUUUUUUAAUUUAUAUUUAUAGUUAUGGAUAUGCUUCCUAUCUAUAUACAAAAUAUAAGAACUCUAAUGUAUAAAACAAAAUUUUUAUCUUGUGUCUUUAAAACUUUCUUCACAAUUUUGAAAAUUUUGAGAAAGAUAAUUUUUUUAAUCCUCAAAUUUUAAAAAGUAUUUUCAAGUAUAUGAGGUAUUUAUUUUUUUUCUAAGAAUUUAUAUAUUUUAUAUGAGACUUUCUAUUUUAAAAACAAAGAUGGGAAAUGUAUACAUACAUAUAAGUAAUUCUCUUUAAAUAUAUUUAUAAUGAAAUCAUAACUAACAAAAGUAUUGCAAAUAAAAAUACCUUAAGUACAAUUACUCCCAAGUGAGUUCAAAGUUAUAAGAAAUAUUUUUGUCAAUAUUUCAGAUCACCAAAAGAAACUAUAAAGGAUUGCAAUAUUACGAAAAAAUUAAAAAUGAUUUUAGUUUAAGCUCUUCAUUUGCAAUCUUGCAAUCUCAUGCCCUAAAUGUUCCAAUUCAUCAAUUUCAUUGGUAAAAUUUUAUUAAAAUUAAUGAUUAUUAAAUAAAAUAAAUUUAAAACCUUUUCCAAAACCAUAUUGUCGAUCCGAGAAUGCCAUGAACAACAUUGUUGAGUAUGAGGCUUGUAUCUUGGGAUUAGAGACAGCCCUCGAGCUCGGUAUUAGACAGAUGGAGGUGUUUGGUGACUCCAAUCUGGUGUUGAGACAGAUUCAGGGUGAGUGGAAGACUAGAGAUGGGAAACUUAGACCUUAUCACGCAUAUUUGGAGCUACUGGUCGCGAGAUUCGAGGAUUUGAGAUACACACAUCUGCCUAGAGCGCGGAACCUGUUUGUUGAUGCCUUAGCUACUCUAGCUUCCAUGAUUGACAUUCCUGCUGACGCCACUGUUCGUCCAUUAUUGAUCGAGUCGAGAUCUGCUUCUGCUUACUGUUGUCUGAUCGAUGAUGUAGAGUCAGAUGAUGGUUUGCCAUGGUAUCACGACACAUAUCACUUUUUGAGGCUUGGCGUAUAUCCUAAGGCCACUACGACCAAGGAUAGGAGAGCAUUGAGACAGUUAGCCGCCCGAUUCGUGAUUUGCGGCGAGACACUAUAUAGACGAUCACCUGAUGGGAUGCUGCUAUUGUGUUUGGACCACGCCUCUGUCGAUAGAGUGAUGCGAGAGGUUCAUGCGGGAGUAUGCGGACCACAUAUGGGAGGACAUAUGUUGGCCUGUAAGAUCAUGAGGACCGGCUACUUCUGGUUGACCAUGGAGACGGACUGCUGCCAGUUCGUUCAGAGAUGUCCCGAGUGUCAGAUACAUGGAGAUCUCAUUCACGUGCCGCCCUCCGAGUUGCAUGCACUGACUUCACCAUGGCCAUUUUCAGUGUGGGGUAUCGACAUCAUCGGGAAGAUUUCGCCGAAAUCUUCCAGUGGUCAUGAGUUUAUCCUUGUCGCCAUUGAUUACUUCACCAAGUGGGUGGAGGCCGCUUCGUAUGCGAGAUUGACAUCGUCUGGAGUUGCUAGUUUCAUCAGAUCACACAUUAUUUGUCGCUAUGGAGUCCCUCAUGAGUUGAUUUCGGAUAGAGGGGUACACUUUAGGGCAGAGGUUGACACUUUGGUGCAGCAAUAUAGCAUCCGACAUCAUAGGUCGUCUGCGUACAGGCCGCAAACGAACGGGGCAGUGGAGUUGCCAUUUUGUGGACCCCGCAUUUCGGCUCAUGCGUUUCCCACUCGAUGACGAGCUCAAUUUUUCAAAUAAAAUCGAGCUCGUCAUCGAGUGGGAAACUCAUGAGCCGAAAUGCGGGGUCCACACAUAUCCAUUUAAAACAUUUUCAUAUCAGGGAUCUCUAGUUUUGCCUCAUGCUUCUCUUUAGAAUUUUAUUUUUAUUUUUUCAACAUGUUUACUUAAAGUUCCAAAUCCAAUAAUGGUGAGAAAAUAUUCAAUUCUAAAAACCAUUUCCAUAUUCAUAUUUUCAUAUCUGUUUUAUCCUUUUAAAUAAAUAAUCCUAGGCUUUGGCAUCAAUUAAUUAAUCUAUGUUUUGCCCAAUUACCAAGUUGAUUGCAAAAAUAUGCUACACUCAUAAGUCUAAAAUAUGCUUUUGGUUUUUCAGCUUUCUAUUUCACUCCAAUUUUGCCAUCUCAAGUUUCAAAUAUAUAGGUGAAAGAAAAAAAAAAUGCAUAAUUUAGUGUUAGAUUGGAAAUAUAUUUUUUCAAUAGUGUUAACUUUUAUAUAAAAUAUUAUAACUUUUAAAAAUUUACGUUUAAAAGCUAAUAAUUUUUAAAAACUACUAAAAAAAUUUGAGAUAUUAAAAGGUUUUACUUCUCUAAUUUUAAAAUUUUGAAAAUUAAUUUUUCAAGAUAUAAUUUAAAACUUUGUCUAGAUAGAUUUCCUUUUAAAAAAAAUAAUAAAUAGUAAUAACUUCUAAAUAAAAUAUAAAACAUUUUAGAAGUUUUCAUUGAAAAUCUUAUGAUUUUUAAAAAAACCAUUUAAAAGAAUUGAGAUAUUAAAAUGUUUUACUUUCUCAAAUUUAAAAAUCUUUUAGAGCCUAUUUGGCCAUGCUAAUGCUCAUUUUUAAAAACUGUCUUGACUUGAAAUUUUUUUUUUUUUGUUUUUUAGUGUUUUAUAAAAAUAUGGGUGUUUGACAAGCUGUUUUUGAAAUCAAUUUUUAAAAAUAAAAAAUAAAGAACUUGUUUGGAUAAUUUUUUUAAAAUUUUUCAAAAGCAUUAUAAAUUCAAUUUAUAUAAUAUAAAUUUAAUUUAAUUUAUAUUAUAUAAAUAUGAUGAUUUUAUAUUUAAAAAAAAACCAUUUAAAAGAAUUGAGAUAUUAAAAAGUUUUACUUUCUCAAAUUUAAAAAUCUUUUAGAGCCUAUUUGGCCAUGUUAAUGCUCAUUAUUUAAAACCGUCUUAACUUGAAAAAAAAAAUUGUUUUUUAGUGUUUUAUAAAAAUAUGGGUGUUUAACAAGUUGUUUUUUAAAAAUAAAAAACUUGUUUGGAUAAUUUGUUUUUAUUAUUUUAUUUUUUUCAAAAACAUUAUAUAUUCAAUUUAUAUAAUAUAAAUUUAUUUUAAUUUAAGUCUUACUUAAAUGAAAAUAUUUCUUAAUUACAAAUAAAUUUAAAAAUAAAUAGUUUUUAGGAAAAUAUGAAUAGUAAUGAUACAAUAAAAUUAUUAAUUGUAUUUUUUUUAUAUAAAAAAGAUACUAUUUUAGUCUAUGCUAGAAACAUAAGGAUAUUAAUAUCUUAUUUAUUAUCAUUUUUUAUUAAAAAUGAAUUAUAAUAGUUUAAAAAUAAUAAUUAUUAAUAAUAUUUUAUUUUAAAUAAAUAAUGAAUAAAGUUUUAACAUGUAUAUGAAUCAAUUUUUUCAUUCUAUGAACACAUAUAGAAUGAACUUUCUGAUAUAAUAUACCUAAUUAUGAAUAUAAUAUUCUAAAACCUCCAUCGCCUCAUUUGAGGUUUUGAACUUUCUGAUAAAUUCGAAUCAACAACAAUAGAAUUGCUCUUUCAAUAUCAAAGGCUCCUUUUGGCGUCAAUAAACCGCCAGUUAGUUAUUGAAACAACACGUUCAUACACAUAUCUAAGUCUUAUUGGAAUGGAAUACAAGUUACCUUCAAGUAAGGUUUUUGCUUACACAUUUACACAUUUACACAUUUUCUAUCUCAAACUGUUAGUGAAAGAUACAGGGCAAACCUACAUUCAAAUGAUCUGAGCCUGUCAUGUACAAUCCAAGCUCAAAAGUCAAGCUUAAGUUAUAAUUCACACGAAAGAGCUGGUCAGCGCACCAAGCCCAAGAACAAUGAUAAGACUGCCAUUUACCAACCUGACAUAAGCUUGAUAUCUCACAUGGAGAACUUACAAGGUGGGUAAGCAUUUGUUAAUUGACACCAAUCAAUCCUGAUACAGAAGAUGGACAUCUCACAUGAAGGGCAUAAGGUGAACCCCUAGGAUCUUGUUGAGCAAAUUGGACUACACUCCAAUCAAGAGCUAAGAUCUUACUAUACCAAUUCAGGUUAUCCUGAUCACGUGUUAGUGGAGGAAAUGUUGUUGAUUUCCAUUUACAUAACUUUGAUUUAGUAGGUUUGGUCUAAUUGGGGUGUAAUAUACGUUAUACAACGGGGAAAGGGAGUGCGAUGAGGUAGUAAAAACAGGACACAACUUGUGAAAAAGGGUCCAAAGUGGAACCCCUUUUUAAGGCUUUUAAUCCUCUGCAGCUUUGCUGAAAUACUAUAACCCAGAUUACUGGUACACAAGCGUUACCAAAAACCAUCAUUUCUGGUGGAUUAUUCCUACCCUUCAUUGAGGGAAGUCUAACCCUGCAGACAAAUACAACCUAGAUGGCUGAUUUUCUAGCUUCCAUUAAUGGGGAGAUUUUCUCUCAACAUUCACUGACCAUUCUAAGUGGGUAAAAAUUAGAAGUUAAGAGACAUCCUACAUGAUGAAUUAGUCAUGCAGAACAUAAGUCCAGGGAUAUUAUCAAGUACUUUAGGGUCCUUUAGGUCAUGGAAACUACUCGAGAAAGGAAAAAAGAAAAAAGAAAAAAUUAUGAAGGAACAUGUAUUCUCUUGCUUGGUUUGCCAAGGAAAAUUUUGCUUUCCCUUUUUCAUCCUUAUUUUCUUAUUGUCAUACUUCCCCUCAAACUUUUCAUGAUCUAAACAGAAGUUUGACUUAUUUAAGAAGCUACCUGACAAGUAUUUCCUUUCCACAAUUGUUUAUUCAACCAAUGAGGCAUUUUUUCCAUUACUCAAUUCUCAAUCUAGUUUCUUUUACACUAACCCUCAAGAAACAAAAUAACACAUAAGCGGGGCUUAUUUUUCAAUAUAAAAAUUCUCUACCAAGAUAUCAGACGUCUAUGAAUUGAAAAUUUAGAACAAUAUUUUCCAAAUCACCCGUGGGGAUCCAUGAUAAGAUAAAUUAGUUACAUUCUCAUGCUUCUUUACGAACCUUUUUCAACAGACUGAGCCCAGUUAAUGCUUGAUCUGGCCAAAGCAUCCAUCAGAUCAAUACAUUUCCUAAGCAGAGGAUCAUCCCGAGGCAAAAGAUCACGCAUGUCAUCAGAGCCAAGGAUGACAGUGUUCAUAGCCCUCGCCAGAAGAACUUGCAUUGCAAUUCUUAGCAGAUUCCUUGCCACUUCCAUGUCCUUUCGAUUUAAAGAUUCAAUUGCAGAAAUUACAGUGUGCUCCAUUGUUGCUUCAUCUGGAACAACAACCUCAAACCCCUGCAUACAUAGAAUUUAGAUUGGAAGGAAUCAAUGUAUUUACGGAUGACAGAAAUGAAAACCGUGCUAAAAGGUAUAUAGUGAGUUGAUGUGGUAACUAAAACUAAAACAGGUUGCUUUUUUCUCUCAAUUAAAAGCAUCUUUCAGAACUUCAGAACUCCCAUAGAUUCAUAUGGAACAUCAUUAUAUAUAUAUAUGUAUAUAAGCAUGCACUUCAAGGCAGUGUAUGUGAAACACGAUCAGGAGUGUGAGACUGUAAUGACACACGGAAUUCCAAAUCCUAUCAUUAUAUAAUAAUAUAAUAUAUUAAUUUCAUCAUUAUUUUAUCCAUCAUGUGUAGGUGGGACCCAGCUCUGCCCAAAACUGCAAUCCUAUCACAGUUGGCAAAACAUUUUGAAAUUCACUUUUGAGCUCUGUUGUAAUUUCAGUAAACAGUUACAACUAGAAAUACCAAAAGAAAAUAGAAUACAAGUAAAAUGGUAUUUCUGGGGGUUUUAGACAAGCUGUCAUGAUGAAGACAAGAUGGGGGUUUAGCAAAAUGGAUGCUGAUUUUGUUGUAUCGAAGAUUCAACAUUCUUUUGUUAAAGGCCGUUAAAUUUUGGAUGCAAAUUUGAAAGCCAAUGAAGCCAUAGAUUUUAGACUGAAGAGUUUGAGAGAAGGGGUGAAUCUGUAAGUUGUGUUGAGGCCUCGCGUCCCUGGUGAUCCACGUAGUUGCCAAAUGGAUGGACGCACGAUCUCAACCAAUAUAGAUUCCUGGUUCAGUCGUUCCUGCAAAAGGCGUUCGAACAGGGUGUCCGGACACACCCUCUGAUGGUUUUGUCAGCCAUGGUUAAAGAGAAUAAUCAGUUGGUCUUUUACUAGGUAUAGCAAGCUUACUUUCCUCUUUGUGUGAAGGUCCAUAUAUAUAGCGUUUAGGAGCUUUGUUUCUCUCUUUAAUGGUAGGGAGAUAUUUUGUCUUGUCAUGAUGCCUUUAGGUGGUGACAGGGCCAUCAUCACCCUACUGGCGGCUGACAGAGAUCGUGGGAGGCGCCGCAGCUGUCAGAGAUCGUAGGAAGUGACUUGCCAUCAUUCUUGUCCUUUCACUCUGUAGGUGGCAGAACGUGGGCCGUGGCAGGUUGUCGAAAUGACGUAGUAAGACUUGCUUACUUUAGUCAACGAUCCGGUCAAACCUAUCCGGAUAGGAUAUGUCGGUCGUCCGGAUGUGAUGUUUGCGAGUGUCGUGUACUUCUCCCUGAGGGAGUCCGGAUAGGGGAAGCGCGCCACGUGUCUCCUUGGAUCCAGAUGGAGCUAAUCCGGAUAGAAAUACGUGCCACGUGUCAUCAGGGGGAGGGGUCCCUACAAUGCCCCCAUUUUAACCUGCCCAUUUUGCCCGGGCAAAAUGGGCGGGUUAAAAAAUGAUUGUUUUUUGAAACUGAGGUUGACUUUUUUCGCUUUAUUGGGCCACAUGGCGAGCAGGGGCGAAAAAGGAAGAAGAGCAUUUAUGAUGAGCCGCCGAUUCUGGGAUUUCCCAACCAGCGUGUCCUUUCAAUGAUGGCUCGGCUGAGCGUUUGGGAUACCGAGGGGUUGUCUCUCUAUAAAUUGCAAACUGUGUCUUCCUCUUGCAUUUUUUCUUCUGCGUUUUUUCCUGGUAAUGCUUUCUCUUCUACCUUCUGCGUAUCUUCGUUUUCGAGUGAAGCUCUAGGGUUUUCUGCCGGCAAUACUCGUGUUGUGAUGGUGACUGCAUUGCGGAUUUCAUCCCAUUUUUCCAGUUUUACACUCGGUACGUUCGCUACUCUUGUCUUAUCUUCGUUGUGUUUGCUUUGUUGGUUGUUUCUGGCUUGCUGGGCAAGUUGCUUGCGACUGGGUGUCGAUAUUGGUUUCUAGGGUUUUUUCGGGGGAUUCUGUUGUGUUUUGGGUGCGUUUAGGGUUUCUGUUGCCCCUCUGCGCUUUUUGUGGGUUGUCGAUACUUUUUUGGGGUAGAAACAAGGUUUGGGAUGGGGAUGCUAGUGAUGUUAGGUUUUCUGAGCGUUUUUAUCGUUUAAGGCUGUGGGGUCGGAUUGUUGUGUUUGACUGUUGGUCAUUCUUCCAUGCAGGUUCCGUUCCAGUCCCAACCUCAAAAAUGUCUACGAACAAGGGCGCUGUUUCGUCUACUACGGUCGAUCAGAGCGGCAAAGAUGCGUCUGGAGACUUUCACGCGGAGAAGUCUGUGGACAAGCUGAAUGCGAAGGAGUUUCGUGAACGCUUCUGCAUCCCAAAUGGCGUGUUCGUUGAACUUAUGGACGGAGAGGCCAUGUCAACUGAGGAAACUGAGGAUAACGCUAUCUUUUUUACCAAUGAGCAAUUCAAUGCUGGGCUCCGGUUCCCUCUCCCAUCGCUUUUCAAAGAAUUUCUCCACUUCACCCAGAUCCCUCCGGCCUACAUCCAUCCCAACAUGGUCCGAGUGCUGAUGGGAUGCAGCACUCUAAGUAUGUUGUUCAACCUGGACCUCUCGCUGCUGGAGGUUCUUUUCAUCUACUCCCUCAAGAAGGGGAAAAAUGACAUCUUUAGCAUGGUUGCCCACCUGCCUUCUCUCCAACUGGUGAUUGAGCUUCCAGAUUCGACGAAGGGAGGAGCCAAGGGACAUGUGUUGGUCCGGGGUGUCUGGGCUGGGCUAUUGGAGCAUCCAGAGAGGCUGUUUUCCCUAAACCGUUCGUUGGUGCUUCCGGGUAAGGCAGCUUGCAGGGUUUGUCCGGCAUUCAUCUUGUUGUUCUUCUUGCUUUGGGGUUAUCAGAUGGCUUAAUACCUUUGGUUGCUGAUAAAGCAGGUCCGGACAAGAGGGGUCACGUAGUCGAGUGGGUAGAAAAAGCGUUUUUCGUUCGACUAAACAAGUUAUUUGAGAUUACUGCCGCUGAGAGGCAUCAUGAGACGCUGCUUACUACGCGAAACUUGCUGGCUGUUGUCAAGGAGCCCCAGACAUAUGUCACCAAUAUUCUCCCCAGGAAGUUGCCAAAGAAGGUAGUGCCUAGGGAGCAUUACGUUCUAAAAGACCUCCCUUUCUACAAGGAGGUGCGCAAGGUAGAUGCCCAGGCACGUUGAGCACGUCUCGAUGAUCGGGAGGGAAGAAGGAAAGAGGGAACUUUGCGGAGGGCCCCCGGUAAAAAACGCUCCGCGCCCUCUCUUCCUGCUGGCGCCCCAGCGAAAAAGAAGAAGAAGAUGGUUCUCAAUAAGGGGAAAUAAAUAAAACUUCCAACUCCCCCAAAGGAAAUGGUAAUACCACCUCCAACUUUUGUAAAGGAAAUAACAAUAAGAGAGCCAGACCACCCCGUCUUGCCCUCUGUUUCAAGUGGCUCCGGACGUCUCGCAGGUCUAAACCAUUCGGGGCCUUCAGUGCCAGUGGCUGGACAACUGGCUCUUCUGGCUGAGGAAGCGACUUCAGUAAAUCAGCCCGGCUCUCCCCAUCCGGACGUAGAUGCAGCCGGGGCCUCUUGCACUGAAGCAUUGCCUCCUUCGGCACCCCCAAUGAAAGAAACAGGGGUAGAAAGUCAAGGUUUGCCUCCUUAUGAGCCAAGCCCCCUUGCCUUUGUACUAGUGAAGGAGCCAGCUACAAGGAGGUCUCGUCCGGCGUGUGACUUAAAGUCUAGCCUCAUCAGGCGGCUUCAGGAUCGUUUUUUGGAAGCCAUCGAAGUCAGCUGCUCAUCCGUCCAGGAGGAUCAUUCGGAGGGGAGUGAGACGGAGAUGGCAGAAGAGAACCCAACCGCCCCGGUGUUGGUCCCGGAUGGGGGUUCACCCGGAGAGACCCAGUUGGCCGAGAAUGAUGGGGCCCCGGACCCGAGGGAGGAAUCACUUCCUAAUGCCUCGUCAGGGGGGAGUCCCGUUGAUGAUGCAGCUUGCAUCUCCCCUAGUCCUUUCAGCUAUGCGGAGUUAGGAGAGAUGUUGAAAUGGAUUCCAUCCGGCUCAGAUGUUGCUGUGCCUUCAGCAAAAAUGUUUGAAGCGGCGGAAAUGGUAUAGUUUACUUCUUGAUUUAUCUCGUUAUACUGAUGUGUUUGUCACAUGGGUUGUAAUUUUUGCAUUUCUUGUUUGUGGGUUUUUCUGCAGUUGGUGAGCGGUAUUCGCGACAUGGCUCAACAACGUGAUCUUUUUUCUGACCUGCUGCGGACUGCUGAUUAUAUGAAGGCCUUCGUCUCUCAGCGCAUAAACAGUGAAGAGGAUCUGCGCUUGAGAUUGGAGCAGGCCGAAGCCAGUUUAUCCGCUGCUCGAGAUGACAACGAGGCUCUCCGGAUAGAGUUAGCUAAGGCAAAGAGUCGGGAGGAAUCUACAGACGCCCGCCUGCAUGAGGCGGAGGACGAGAUGGCGCAGCUAAGGGAGGAAGUGAGGCAACUCCAGACAGAGGUGUCUAUUGAGAAAAAGUAGAGAGAGGAUUUGCAGUUGCGUUUAUCAGCGCAAAAAGAAGAGUUGGAGGUUGUGUUUGCUGCGGAAAGGGAGGAACUUGAAGCGGACUACCAGAAGCAGGUAGAUGAAAUGUACUUCUUCGGCUACCGUUGCUGUAUGAAGAAACAUGGUAUCAAGCGGGAUGUCCCUUCGAUUCCCUCGGGUGAAAAGGAGAAGCUACCCGACAAGCCUUCCCAAUGAGAGCUUUUCUUUUUGUAAUUUUUUUACUGCUAUCUUCUCUCUGUAUUUUGUAGUCCGGAGAACUCUUUGUAUACAACUUCACAAGUAUUAAUAAAACAUACUUAUUCAUAUUGUACUUGUAUCUUUCUUUCAUUGGUAAUACUGCUUUAAAUUGGAUACAUUCCAUGGUCUGAGUAAUGGGGUUCCGUCUAGCUUUUGUAGAUGAUAAGUUCCACUUUCACUUGUCUUAGAUACUAUAUAGGGGCCUUCCCAGUUGGCUUGAAACUUUCCUACUCCUAUCUCAGCAGUAUUUUCGAAAACCUUUCUAAGGACCAGCGUACCAUUUUUGAAAUUUCUGGGCCUUACCUUGCGAUUGUAGUGAGCGGAUGCCCUUUGUUGAUAGUCUGCCAUCCGGAUGGAUGCAGUUUCUCUUACUUCGUCUGCCCAGUCCAAGUUUCUUCCUAACUUCGCAUUUGCAUCAUCCUGUCUUCCUGCCUCGGUCCGGAUAGUGGGUAGCCCUAUUUCAGUAGGAAUGAUUGCGUCCAUACCUAUGCGAGGGCGAAGGGAGUGUUUCCUGUCGGACGUCCGGGUGUUGUUUGAUAAGCCCAUAGGACGCCGGGUAGCUCCUCCACCCAUUUUUCUUUGGCUUGCUCGAGCCUCUUCUUUAAGGCAGUGAUUAGAGUCUUGUUUGUGGCCUCUGCUUGCCCAUUACUUUGAGGAUAACGCGGUGUAGAGUAUGAAUUCCAGAUGUUUAGUUCCGAACAGAAAUUCCGGAAAGCGAUGCUAUCAAACUGUGGACCGUUGUCGGCUAUAAUGGUUUGGGGGAUUCCGAAGCGGCAGAUGAUGUUCUUCCACACGAACUUGGUGACAUCUUUGUCUUUGAUGCUAGAGUAUGCUUCAGCUUCCACCCAUUUACUGAAGUAAUUCGUGGCGACGAGCAGGAAUUUAUUUUGAGCGGGUGCGGCUGGUAGGGGUCCUACUAUGUCCAUGCCCCACUUCGCGAAGGACCAGGGGCCUGAAAUUGGCUUCAAUGUCUCCGACGGCACAUGUGGUAUGGGGGCAUGACUUUGGCAUUUGUCACAUUUUUUUACAUAGGCUGCCGCAUCCUUCUUCAUCGUGGGCCAGUAAUAUCCUUGCGAAUGGGCCCUGUGUGCCAGAGAUCGACCUCCAGAAUGAUUUCCACAUACUCCCUCGUGCAAUUCAGCUAAUACAUACAGGGCCUCUGAGUGGUUUAGGCACCGGAGAUAGGGACUUGUGAAGGAUCGCUUAUACAAGUGCCUCCCAAUCAGGGUGAAACGGGCAGCUUGCACCCAGAUCUUGUGUGCCUACUUGGGUUCUUCAAGCAGAGUGCCUGUCCGGAGGUACCUUAUAAUGUCUUUCGUCCACUCUUGGUUGUCUACUUGGUUUGCCUCAAUGGUAUUGCAAGUGGAAGCUUCCGCGACAUAAGGGUUGACUUGCACAUGUAUAGGCAACAAUAUGGCUUCUUUGAUGGGGAGGGAGGUAGCUAUGCUUGCCAAGGCGUCGGCGCGCCCAUUUUCAGUUCGUUUUAUUUUUUUGAUCGUCUAUUCGGUGAACUGCUGUAAGGUGUCUCUUACUUUAGCCAGAUAUCGCGUCAUGCGCGCGUCCUUAGCUUCGUAUUCUUUCUGAACGUGCCUUACCACGAGUUGGGAGUCACUAUAGACCCGAAGCUUGGAGACGGAUAGAGCUAGGGCGAGGUCCAAUCCGGAUAGGAUGGCCUCAUAUUCCGCUUCAUUGUUAGAGGCGGUGAACCCCAGCCGAAUGGCUUGCUCCAGAUGUUCUCCUGUUGGUGAUUGUAGUAGGAGCCCUAUUCCGGAUCCUGAUGAUCGUGAGACUCCAUCGACCCGCAAAGUCCACCACUCUUUUUCACUUGGUUCCUUGUGCUGGAUAGGCCUUCGGGAGUAUUCCAGCACGAAGUCAGCCAUAACUUGGCCUUUCAUGGAUAACCUGGGUUGGAACUCGAUUCCAUAUUCGCUUAACUCUAUAGCCCAUUGAAGCAUUCUUCCGGUUAGGUCCGGCUUGUGCAGAAUGUUGCGAAGGGGUUGGUCAGUUAGCACGACCACCGGGUGGGCUUGGAAGUAAGGGCGGAGCUUUUGGGCGGCACUUCGAAAAGUUAAAGCCGUUAGCUCCAUCUUUGAAUACCUGGUUUCUAGGUCUGCCAAUACUCUACUGACGUAGUAGAUAGGUUUCUGCUCCUUGGGCGAUGGGCAACGGAAUAGAACAGCGCUAAUUGCUCACUCUGAUACAGCCAGAUACAUAUACAGUUUUUCUUCAGGGAGGGGACUGCUCAGGAUGGGCGGUUGCAUGAGACAGUGUUUAAUUUUUUCAAGAGCGCUUUGACAGUUGUCCUUCCAUCCGUUUGCUCCAGCUUUUCGUAUUGCCAAGAAGAAGGGUCGCAGUUCGUCAGUGAAGCAGGCUAUAAAACGUCCUAGCACGACGAGUUUGCCUGUGAGGCGCUGUAAUUCCUUUUUGCCCCUGGGGGGUGGUGUUUCCAUGACUACCUUGACUUGAUCCGAGCUAACCUCUAUCCCCCUUUGGCUGACCAUAAAUCCUAGGAAUUUGCCAGCACUUACGCCAAAGGCGCAUUUGGAAGGAUUCAGCUUCAUACCAUACUUCCUUAAGAGUUGGAAGAUUUCUUGCAAGUGGAGGACAUGUUCCUCUCGGGUUUUGCUUUUAACCACGAUGUCGUCAAUAUAUACCUCUACUGUGCGGCCGACCAGAGGUUUGAAGAUUUUCGUCAUCAGUCUCUGAUAAGUGGCGCCAGCUUUUUUGAGUCCGAAUGGCAUGACUUUGUAGCAAUAAAAAUCGUGUGGCGUUAUGAAGGCUGUUUUUUCUUCGUCAGCCGGGGACAUGGGGAUUUGGUGGUAUCCGGAGAAGGCGUCCAAGAAUAAGAGCAUCCCUUGCCCAACAGUGGAAUCCACAAUUUGAUCUAUCCGUGGCAAAGGAAAACUGUCUUUUGCGCAUGCAUUAUUGAGGUUGGUGUAAUCGACGCACACCCGCCAUUUGCCUUCUUUUUUUGGUACCACCACUACAUUUUCCUACCAGUCCGGGUAAUCCACUUCUCUGAUGAAUCCGGCUUCUAGCAAUUUGUCAAUCUCAUUUCGAAUAAUUUUUUGUCUGUCCUGGUGAAAACGUCUAACCCUCUGCCGGAUGGGUCUUGCUGUUGGCAAGACGUUAAGCCUAUGAGAGGUAAUGGAGGGAUGAAUUCCCUUCAUAUCAGAAUGUGCCCAUGUGAAGACGUCAUGAUUUUGUCUGAGGGCGUUCUGCAUGUUCCGGGUCUCUUCUAGUGUCAGGAGGGAACUGAUAUUCGUAAGGUGAGUACCUUCUUCCGAAAUUUGGAUCGCUUGCAAAGGAUCCGCUGCCGGGAGAUCUUUGUCCGCCGGACUCAAUAAUUGUUAUUGGUCACGUGCAUGGCUGGACUCAGGGAGGGAUGCAUCCUUCUGGCUGGUCCCUACUUCACGUGCUAUCUGGUAGCAUUGGCGAGCGGCUAACUGGCUGCCGUAUAGGUCAAUUUGCCCAUCCUUGGUAAGAAAGCUUACCAUUUGAUGAUACGUAGAGGGGAUGACUUUCAUGUAGUGCAGCCAUGUGCGCCCCAAGAUGACAUUGAAGGGUGAUAAAUCUUGUACCACCGAAAAUUGUACGUUGAGAGUGACUGGGCCAGCUUGGACCGGCAGUACAAUGUCUCCCAAGGAAGUAGUUGACGACCCGUUGAAUCCGGACAAGAUUCGCCCAGGGUUUUCGAGGCCUGUGAGACUGUGUCCCAUGUGGCUAAUGACCGAUGCUUGUACAAGAUCAGCCGAGCUACCCGGGUCAACCAGGAUGCGCCUCACGUCAAAGUCUCCUAUCUCUAGGGACAGGAUGAGGGCGUUGUGGUGCGAAUGCAAUAUCCGGGUGGGGUCUACUGGUGGAAAAAUGAUUGUCCCAUCUAUGGGGCGAGGGCCCCCCUCAAUUACUCCAGGCCGGAUGGAGUUGACACGUUCACGCACCGAUGCUGCCCGCAACAACUUUUGUCUCUUUCGUUUGGAGUCGUACUCCUCGUCAGAUGGACCUCCAUUAUUAUAGUUUAUAACCGCUUUGGGGGCGGCUGGGGCCCUGGGGGCUCCAAAGUUGUGAUUUCGGGAAGCGUCUCUACCUUCGGCAUCUGAGCGGAGGUAUUGCUUUAAAUGUCCUGCCCUUAUGAGCCUUUCAUGGAAGGCACAUUUUUUACUAUGAUCUCUUUUGGAUGGAUUCGUUCCGAGGGGUCUAGGCCACCUGAAGUCGGACAUGUCUUAGAUCAUAGGGAGAAGCUUCUCAUAUGAUAUGGAAAGGGGUGUGAGGGGCGGCAUUUUCGGGUGACUUGGCCCUUUCUGCCUUCGAUCGGACGGCCUUGGCCUGUCCGGAAGUUUGGUACUUCUUUCCGCACCCCUUCUGGAUGUCUGUCCGGCAACCAAGACUUGCUGGGUGGCUACACGCACGUCAUCUUCGAGCAUUGAGUAUUUGCUCGCACGCCGGAACAAGUCGUCCAUCGUCGUAGGAGGCUUUUUAGCGAGUGAUUCAAAAAAUGGGGUGCCUGAACAGAUGCUUCGUUUGAAGAUUUGUAGGACAGCAUCCAUGCUGUAAGCCUCUACCUAUAGUACGACCUGACCAAACCGCUUCACGAACUCCCUUAAGGAUUCGUUAUCCUGCAUUUUUAUGUUUUGCAGAGUGCUGAUGUUCUGCUUAUGUCGAGCGAAGCAUAAGUAUUGCCCCACGAAGGCUUCCGAUAGGUCUCUGAAAUUAUCAACAGAGUUAGGAGGUAGGCAGUGAAACCAUGAGAGGGCCUGCCCUUGUAGGCUGGCGGGGAAUACUUUGCAUAGCAGUGCGUCGUUGCCUAUAUCGAGAGUCAUGAGCUGUCGAUAAUGCAUGAUAUGGUCGAAGGGGUCACUGGACCCAUCGUAUGUGGAGAAUUUGGGCACAAGGAAUCCCCUUGGGGGCUCGUAAUGAAUGAUAUGAGAGCAGAAAGGCAUGGAGAGCAUGUCGUCCAGCCUUUUGGUGAUGGAGCCAAUGGGUGGCUCAUUUGGGAGGUUUCUCCCAGCUUGUUGUACCGCUAGGUGCGGUUGAACGUUCUGCACCAUAGGGGUGACCAUGGGGUCACGGUGUGGACGAACAUUCUGCACCAUAGGGGUGACCAUAGGGUCAGGGUGCGCUCCCCAAGUUGUGGCUACUGGCGGCCUUGGCCUCCUAGGCUCCUGUGGGCCUAGCCUCGCGCGCAUCGAGUUUGACAACUGGGGCCUUUUAUCGCGUUGUCUUUUUGCUGAAAAAUGAGCAGAGUCUGAGCUUUCCUCAUGUGGAGCUCGGUGCAUGGGAGUGUGUGGCUCAUGCGGCCUAACGUUGCAUGUUUCUGGGAUGGCUCCUGCUGUCCCAAGGUAUAUUGACUCUGGUUCUGGCCUUGAGUUUGCUACCUGGCCUCUUGAACGUUGACGACGGGGAGGCCCCAUCAAUGAAGCCUGGAUGCAUAGCACCACGUUUUCUUCUCUUAACCUUUCUGUCUCCUAGAGGAGAGUUUGCAGUUGUCGUUAGCUUGUCAAUUGUCUUCUUUUGAUGGCUUGGCGCCAUUCAGAAUUAUCUUCCUCUCCCCUACCAAAUGAACGGCUUCGGGAAGGUGUGGCCAUCUUUGCCGGUGACUGAAUCAGCGAGAUUCCCACAAACGGCACCAAUGUUGAGGCCUCGCGUCCCUGGUGAUCCAUGUAGUUGCCAAAUGGAUGGACGCACGAUCUCAACCAAUAUAGAUUCCUGGUUCAGUCGUUCCUACAAAAGGCGUCCGGACAGGGUGUCCGGACAUACCCUCCGAUGGUUUUGUCAGCCAUGGUUAGAGAGAAUAAUCAGUUGGUCUUUUACUAGGUAUAGCAAGCUUACCUUCCUCUUUGUGUGAAGGUCCAUAUAUAUAGCGUUUAGGAGCUUUGUUUCUCUCUUUAAUGGUAGGGAGAUAUUUUGGCUUGUCAUAAUGCCUCUAGGUGGUGACAGGGCCAUCAUCACCCUACAGGCGGCUGACAGAGAUCGUGGGAGGCGCCGCAGCUGUCAGAGAUCGUAGGAAGUGACUUGUCAUCAUUCCUGUCCUUUCACUCUGCAGGUGGUGAAACAUGGGCCGUGGUAGGCUGUCGAAAUGACAUAGUAAGACUUGCUUACUUUAGUCAACGAUCCGGUCAAACAUAUCCGGAUAGGAUAUGUGGGUCGUCCGGAUGUGAUGUUUGUGAGUGUCGUGUGCUUCUCCCUAAGGGAGUCCGGAUAGGGAAAGCGCGCCAUGUGUCUCCUUGGGGGAAAUCCAGAUGGAGCUAAUCCGGAUAGAAAUGCGUGCCACGUGUCAUCAGGGGGAGGGGUCCCUACAAGUUGGAUAUUCAGAAGUCCAACAAUCAUAGGAUUUGACAACGAGUGAAUAUGUUGGAUACAAUUCCUCAUGUCUAUUGUAACAAUUUCUUUGUUUGUGAAUGGCUCUUUUUUGUUUCUUUCAAAGUCCAAGCGGGUUGAGACAAUGCACCCUCUUAUCUCCUUUGUUUGUUCUAGUUAUGAAGACUUUUAACUGUUUUGUUACCAAGGUGACAAGAGGGGCUUCUUUUAUGACUUUAAAGUAAGGGAAGAUGAAGAAAAGGGUCGGAAGUCUCCCAUUUACUCUUUGCAUUAUGAUAAAUUGCUUUUUUGUGAUUGAUCACGGGCUCAGUUUUGAUGUGAAGUCAUCUCAAAAUUGAGAAUAAGCUCGAAGAAAAGUGAAAAGUCCCCAAUAUUGAAGAAUUAACCUCUUUGUUGGGUUCCAAGGUGGUCAAGUUACCCUUCUCUUUUUUUUUUUUUUUUUUUUUUUUUUUGAGAUAAUCGAAGAACCUUCUAAACCCUUAGGACUCUCCAUAAAGACCCAAACCUUGGGCCUUCCCUAACAAUCGACACUGGGUGAAUCAAAGUAUCAUCAAUAGCAAGAUUUAAAAUCAAGAUCAUGUGCCUCUUAUUAGAACCACAUGCAUCUCCCAUCAUUCGCCCUAACCAACUGGGCUACCCGACAGGCAUACCUUCCUUCUUAGUCUUCCUAGGUUUUCCCUUCAAAGUCUUCUACUAUGUCAAAUGUUCUGAAGGAGAGGCUACUUAAAAGGUUAGCCUCAUGGAAGUGUUAGUAUUUGUCUACAAGUGAAGAUUAACCCUUUUGAAAAGCAUUUUAUCCAAUGUGUCCAUUUACUAUUUGUUAUCCCAAAAAGAGUUCAUAUGAGGUUAAAAAUGAUUAAGAAAGAGUGUUGGUGGCCAGUAAGUUUUUUAAAGAAGAAACCUCAUUUAGUCAACUCAUAUACAAUGUAUUUAGAUGAUAAAAUAAAAAUUAAAUUAAAUUAAAAAUGGAGGCAUUGAAAUAAUCAUUUUGUUCACAAAUAUAUAAUUUAUAUUAUUAAAAUUCACAAUAAUUAUAAAAAGGAAAAUAAUUAAAAAUAACCAAAAAUAUCUUUUUUUGAGUGAAGACACUUUUAACUUUUCUAACUAUUUUCUAACUUUCAUAUGUCAAUAAUAAAUAAUAAAUAAAUAAUUAUUUUUUACUUUUUAAUUAAAAGAAUUUUAGAAUAUCAAUUUUCAGACCUAGGGCAUGUGCAAAACUAUAUUGUUUAUGGUCAAAAUGACAAUUGAUGAGGAUGGUACAACCCAUCCACUCCAAUUUUUAAAACCAUGUUUUUAAGCAAGGCUCCAUUAGGUAAGUAGAGUUGCAGAUUUGCCAUAUAUAGGGAUAAUAUAGAACAAUUUUUGCUCACAAAAGUAGACAUCCUACAUUAGUAAGACCUUUGUAUGCCAGUACCUAGCAUUUAUAAUGCAUAACAAGAACUACAAAACACUUCUUCCUGAGGUUGUUCAAAUUUACACUUCCAUUAAAUGGACUCCUCAAAAUGGGCUACAUCAGACGGGACAUCUAAUGAAUAAUGUAUGGGGGAAUAAGGUAUGACUAAGGUUUUACAUUUAGUACCAAAUCAACAUAUGUUUAUAUAGGGAUGAUUUUGAUGCAAAUCAAAUUAAGCUUUUACAUUUAGUACCAUCAUCCAAGAUUAAUUCACCAUGGCUCUAAAUGGUCAUGCAUGUUUUGUUUCCCCAUAUUUUUAUUAUCGCCCAUGGAAGAAACUACAUGGGUCAUUUAGAGGGGCCCAUCACAAUAACAUAUAGCCCAAUAAAAUUAAUGAAGUCUUAGAAACUGAUUCUAUAAUCCAUGCAUGCAACAAGCUGAGAAAAUAAUCUUUCAAGUUAAGAUUGGAUAGUUGAGCCCCCUUAGAAACUGUACCACACUUCAAAUCUCAUUUUCCCUUAUUUACGUAUUGGCAUACACUGCCCUUUAUCUGCUCACAAAGAAUUAGAGCUUACCAAGAAAAAGUUCUCGUUCAACUCAAACAAUGUAGAGGGUUGUAAAAUAGUUCAAGGAGAGGAAGAGUGGCUGAGUAAGUUAGAACAGAAGGACAAAGCUACUCUAAAUGCCUUUUUGCCCCGUUUCAAAGCAACAUAAGAAUAAGGGGCUUUCAAAGCAACAUAAGAAUAAGGAGCUUAAGAAUGAUUUCCAGUCUUCUAUUUUCAUGUCUAUUUGAUAGUUGGAAUGUGUAUUGUUCAUUUGUGGGUUGAUUCUCUCUCCACCAUUGAAAUUCCCAUGCAGGGACAAAACAAAGGAAAUGUAUGAUGUUAUGAGAUGUUUAUGAAAAGUGUCUUGUAAUUGCAUUAUGUGUAAUAAAGUACUAAGUCUAUAUAGGGUUGUUUAAAAUUGUUGUGAUCUAAGUAUCAUUUUGAUAUGAUUUUAAUUUUUAAAAGUAGAAAAUGAUAUUAAUUCCUAUAUUGAUUUUAAAAUGUUAAAUAUUUGAAAACUUUUACAUGGUAAUUCUAAAUAUUGGUAAAAUCAUACUAUUAAUAUUUUGUACAUUUUUAAUAUUUUCAUCCUUAAUUGAAAAUAUUUUCCAAAGCAACAUAAGAAUAAGGAGCUAAGGAAUGAUUUCCAGCCUUCCAUUUUCAUGCCUAUUUGAUGCUUGGAAUGUGUAUUCUUCAUUUUUGGUUAAUUGCUUUUACGUUUACAGGAAGAAGGGCCCAAACUCCCUUUGUUGCUCCUCUAUCCAUCCUUGUAAUCCCCACGCAUGGACAAAACGAAGGAGAUGCAUGGCUUUAUAUGCAUGACAAGUGUCUUGUAAUUGUGCAUGUGGAAUAGAGUUUGAGUCAAUUGGUCGUUAUUUCAAACUAUUAUGUUGUAAGAAUAAGUUGGAUAUGAUUUUUAGUUUAAAAAAUAGAAAAUAAUGUUUCAAUUUGAAAUGUCUUUAAUGAAAGUGUUUUUAAAAGAAUUACCUAUAAAUGUUUCUGCAAAAAACACUACAACCAAUUUUUUAAUACUAUAAAGUAAUUUCUUUUAAAAUUUAAAAGUAUUUCUUAAAUUUUAUUAAACACCUAAUAUUUUUUUUAAAAACACUUUUUUAGGUUGACAAUGUUUUUCAAAAAGCACUGUCAAAUAGACUCAAACUCUUAUAUUGAUUUUAAAAAUUAUUUCAAAAUUUUAAAAAUUCAAAGGUAAAUUUAAAAAACAUAAUGUAAGUAUGAGUUACUAUAUUUUAUAUGAAAGUGGCUAUUAAUUUCUAUCUCUAAAAAUAAAAAUAAGAAAUGAAUUCAAAUUAUUAGUACUUAAUAAUUAACUAAUUAAUUAGUGUUUGAAUACAAAUAUAUAUACAAUAAAUUAAUAAGUUUCUUAUAUGUUUGGAAAAAAGCAUCUAUAUAGAGUGUUAUUUAUUACAAAUGUAUGAUAAAUUAAUAAGAUUCUCACUUAAGUUGCAUUUUAUUUGAAUUUCAGAGAAAUAAUAGUUGUAAAAUUAGAAGGAAAUAGGGUUGAUAUUGUCAAAUGAUGAUGAAACAUAAUUCAGAAAUUAAAACAGGAAGAAAAAAAAUUAAAUAAUUGUAUAUUCUAUAUUAUAGUGGAGGCAUCAAAUAUUUGUCUAUUAUCAUUAUUAUUAUUCUUUUUAUCAUUUCCACCUAAUUUAUUCAUCGAAUACACAAGAGUUGAGUCACAUAAUCCAUAUUGACCAAAUAAAUAAUAGGACAAAGUCCAACUCUCUCCUCUUAACAUGAUAUAUAUACCUUUUUUUAAUUAAAUGAUAAAGCUAUAUAUAAUUCUAAAAAGAUUCUUUGCAACAAUAUCUUGUAUUUUUGCAUGUGGUCAAAUAAUCAUCCUCAUUAUUAUUAUUAUUUUAAUACCACAACUACUCUACCUAAUAACAAAUGGUUGCCAAUUUUCCUGAUAAAUUAAGUUUUGAAAAGAAUCAUUUCAACUACGUACUCUACCAAAUCAUCAACAAUAAGAAAUGGUUGCAAGUUAUUUUCCCAAUAAAUUAAGUCUUGAAUUCUCCCAACAAAUGAAGUUUUGAAAAGAAUCCUUUAGUUGUAUGGUACUUUACUAUCUUUAUAUGUAAGUAUAUUUGUUCUCAUAUGUAUAAGGAUUUUUUUAUUUAUUUAAAAGAAUCACUUCAAUAUGUGUAUUAUUAAUUAGUUUAUUAUUUUUUAGAAUUUUGUCUAACAUUUUUGUAAUUUUUUAAUCAACUUUUAUCCCAUAAUUUUUUUUUCAAAUUUUUGUAUAAUAUUUGUAAUAAUUUUAUAAAAUUUGAAUAUUGAUAUUUUGUAAAUUUUUUACAUGUUCAUCCAAAAUAUUUUAAAAUUAUAUGUCUUUAAAAUAUAUUAAAAGUUAAAGCAUGCAACCGAAGGUAAGAAAUAUUUGAAAAUUAAGGUCAAUUAUGGUGCCUAUAAUAUUUUAGUCACAAAUCCUUCUAUAAAAAACUUCCGUAGAUCAUAUUAAAAAUAAAAUAGAAAGGAAGUGUUAGGAAGAUGCGAAGAUGUAUGAUAAAUGAAUAAGACUAAGUAGUAUUUUAACUGAACAACUAAGACAACGACGAUAAAAAUAAGAAGGAAAAACAAACUUGUACUACGUCUUGGUAACACCGGAGAAACAUGAUUUAAAAAAUAAAAUUAAAAAAAUUUGAUAACUUACCAUCAACUUUGAUCAUUCCCAUGCUAUUUAUCAUAAUUUAUUUAUUAAAUAUACAAGAGCGGAGUAAUCGAAACCAUAUUGUCUAAAUUAUUGAAUUAAGUGAAGUCUCUCUUAUCUUCUAUCAUCGUCUACUUACAUAAAGCUUAUAACAGUAAAAAAUGAAUUUGAUGGCAUCUUUUCUUCUUUUAUAUGGCCAACUUCUCUAACUAUUAUUUUAAUUCCACAACUUCUCUAACUUAUCAUAAAUGACAAUUAUCGUUUCUAUCAAUGUUUGUUAUUUCCACUUAGUUUAUUCAUUGAUUCAUUGAAUAUACAAGGGCUGAGUCACACAAUCCAUUCAGGUCAAAUAAUUGAAUGAAGUCACUCUCCCUUAUGCCUUUUCAUGAUAUACUUAUUUAUUAGAUGAAACAAUUGUAAUAAUAAAAUAAGAAUUUUGUAAUAACAUCUUGUCUUCUUUCAUAUGGCCAAAUAGUCCUUGUUAAUAUUAUUUUAAUCUCACAAUUUCUCUAACUAAACAUAAAUAAAUAAGAAUUGAUUGCAAGCUAUUUUGUAAAUAAAUUAGAGUUGGAAAUGAAUUAAUCAUUUAGUUAAUGUAUGGUAGUUGCAUAACUAAUCUUAUUAGUUACAACAAUGCAUGGAGAGCAACAAUAAUGUAAUAUAAAAUAAAUAAAUGCAAUUAACAUUAUUUUCUUGAAACCCAAAUAGUUUAACUCUUUUAUGAUUUUUUUUUUACCUCAAGCUAAUUAUUCUAGAAUAUGUAGUGCACUAAGUUGAAAUCAGUAACUCCGACUUCAAGUCAUAUUAAAAAAAAAAAAUUAGGAAUUUGAAAACUAUUAAGAAUGGAUGUAUUAGUAAUUAGCUUUUAUAUCCAAACCUUAUGAUAUGUCUAAGAAAAAUUGAUAUCUAAAUUGAAGACUUCAUAUCAUAAAUUCCUUUUUAAGCUAAACAAUUUAAUGGUAUAUUUGCAAUUUUUAGAAAAUCCAAAUCAAGAUGUUAGGAUCAAAUGUGAAUUAUCAUUAAAUUAGUUGGUAAUUGAUACCAUAAAAAUGAAAUAAAAACUGUUAAUUAAUCAAGUUAUUUAAUUAAGUUGCCAAUUUUAUUCAAAACAUUAUUGAAUUCACUUCACAUGCUUUCUUGGUUUUAUAUAUAUAUAUAUAUAUAUAUAUAUAUAUAUAUAUAUAUAUAUAUAUAUAUAUAUAUAUAUUUUAGAAGUCGCCUUGAAAAUAGAUGAUUUCUCCAUAUAUAUGUAUUUUUUAAUCAAUGAAGAAAUUGUUUCUCUAAUUAAUUUUUCUUAAGAAAUCAUAUCUUAAAGAGAUGAUUUUUUUCUCUAAUUUUUUUGAAAAGAGAUUUUAUAAAUCACCUUUUGAAAAGAUAAUUUUUUUUAUUAUUAUCUUUUUAAAAUGAAAUAAAUCAUCUUUUUAAAGAGACGGUCUAAAAAAGAAAUAAUUUUUUUUUAUUUAACAAAAAUUACAAUAAAUUUAAAAUUAUUUUUAUCACUAUAAUAUUUUAGGAAUGGUCUUUUUAAACUAUUGUACUAAAAAAUCUUUGCUUACCCGGGGGUAGUGGGCAAUAAAGAAAUGAAAAGAAGUUGGCAGGGGGGCGUCANNNNNNNNNNNNNNNNNNNNNNNNNNNNNNNNNNNNNNNNNNNNNNNNNNNNNNNNNNNNNNNNNNNNNNNNNNNNNNNNNNNNNNNNNNNNNNNNNNNNGAAUGGAUGUAUUAGUAAUUAGCUUUUAUAUCCACACCCUUAUGAUAUGUCUAAGAAAAAUUGAUAUCUAUAUUGAAGACUUCAUAUUCCAUAAAUCCCUUUUUAAGCUAAACCAAUUUAAAUGGGUAUAUUUGCCAAUUUUAGAAAAAUCCCAAAAUCCAGGAUGGUUAGGGAUCAAAUGGUGAAUUAUCAUUAAAUUAGUGGGGUAAUUGAUACCAUAAAAAAUGAAAUAAAAACUGUUAAUUUAAUCAAGUUAUUUAAAUUAAGUUGCCCAAUUUUAUUCAAAAACAUUAUUGAAUUCACUUCACAUGCUUUCUUGGUUUUAUAUAUAUAUAUAUAUAUAUAUAUAUAUAUAUAUAUAUAUAUAUAUAUAUAUAUAUAUAUAUUUUAGAAGUCGCCUUGAAAAUAGAUGAUUUCUCCAUAUAUAUGUAUUUUUUAAUCAAUGAAGAAAUUGUUUCUCUAAUUAAUUUUUCUUAAGAAAUCAUAUCUUAAAGAGAUGAUUUUUUUCUCUAAUUUUUUUGAAAAGAGAUUUUAUAAAUCACCUUUUGAAAAGAUAAUUUUUUUUAUUAUUAUCUUUUUAAAAUGAAAUAAAUCAUCUUUUUAAAGAGACGGUCUAAAAAAGAAAUAAUUUUUUUUUAUUUAACAAAAAUUACAAUAAAUUUAAAAUUAUUUUUAUCACUAUAAUAUUUUAGGAAUGGUCUUUUUAAACUAUUGUACUAAAAAAUCUUUGCUUACCCGGGGGUAGUGGGCAAUAAAGAAGUGAAUAGAGGUGGCAGUGGGGCGUCAUCCAGCUGGACCCUCAAAUGCAAAAUAAAGAAGUGAAUAGACGUGGUGGGUUGGCUGUCAUCCAGCUGGACUCUCAAAUGCAAAAAUGGAGAUUCAUUUAUCCCAACAUGAAGCACCGUCUUCAACGAGAUGUUGAAGCCAAUACCUAUAUCUUCUUCUAAACCAACUCCUCUCUUCUGCUUGAUUCAUCAUCCCAAAGCUCUCCACACUCAUCAUUUCCCUCAAAACUACCUAGUUCUUAAUCCUCGUUGACAAAACCAUGGGCAACAUUUGCUCGAUUUCACUCCCUGCUGACCGCAUUGUCUCUAGCUUCUGGGAUGGCACUACUGAGCAUGCAAAUUACCUGCGCAAACUCCCUGAAAAUCUGGUAGAAUUGGGAACCGCUUGUGAAAGAUUGAGGGAGUUAAGGAACGAUGUGAAGAGGAUGGUGGAUAUUGCUGAGAGGGAACAAAUGCAGCCGCUGGACCAAGUACAAGGGUGGCUUUC
rnacentral:lncRNA from 1 species